rnacentral:lncRNA from 1 species
UAUUUUUUGUUUUUUUUUUUGUUUUUGAAUAUUUUUGUUAUUUUUCUCUUAACGUCAUUUUAGUGUUUUAUUUUUGUUUUUGUUUUAUAUUUAUUUUAUUUUGCAUAUUUGUUUUUAUUUUUAUCUUCAAAUUUAUUUUGAAUUUAUUUUAUUUUAUUUUAUUCUUUUUAAAGAAAAAAAAAUACUAUGUUUUUUGUUUUGUGCACUAAUAUGUUUUAGGACGAAAGCAACAUGGCAGAAGAACAAGCACCACCUUAUAGGAGGACACUUGGAGAUUAUGUUAUGUACUAAGGACCAAGGCAUUAUUCUAGUAUCGCAAUACCUGCUACCGCUAAGGCCUUGAAAAUAAAUCUCAAUUUUCUCACUCUCAUCAGUACCCAUCAAUUCACAUUAAUGGAACAUGAGGAUCCACAUUCACAUUUGGACACAUUUUAUGAAUUGGUGGGAACAAAGGGUUUUCAAUCAGCUGAUAUUGAAAUUGUUUAUAUGCGCUUGUUUCCUUUUUCAUUGGCAGGAAAGGCAAAAGAUUGACUCAGAUCACUUCCAAAUCAGAGUCUCACUAGCUGGAAGGAUGUAGAGGAAAAAAUUUUGCAAAGAUUUUUUACAAUCUUUCGCUACAUCAAAGCAAAGUCUGGAAUUUUUGUGUUCAAACAAGGAGCAGAUGAAUCAUUCUAUGAGACCUGGGAAAGAUUUAAAAUGAUGCUUAGAAAAUGCCCAAAUCAUGGGUUUGAAGAUAUUGCUUAACUGAGCAUAUUUCUCACCGAUCUCAGAUCUGACACAAAGAUGCUCCUAGAUGCUACAAUUGGCGGCACAAUGAUGGCUCUUGAUGUAGAACAAGUGACAAUGAUUAUUGUUGCAUUGGUGUCAACUGAUUAUCAAGCCCAACAUGAUAGACAAAAUACUCAGAAGGAAGGGUCGUUAGAAGAUGUACUUUUGGCUCAAAAUAAAAUUCUGACACAGCAGAUUGGGCAACUAACCGCACAAAUGGCUAAAUUGCCCCAAUAGUUAUAUGUUGUGCAUUCAUCUCAAAGCCAUAGUCAAUCAAUCAUGUGUGAUUUUUGUGGAGGUGAUCAUCCUAAUGGUCACUGUUCUUAUCUGAACAAUUCACCUGAAGUUGAGAAUCCAUCCGUGCUUGAAAGAAUGAGUAAAGUUGAAGAAGCCCUAACAAAGCUUGUGAUAAUGGAAGAAAAUAGCAUGGCAACGAUCAAGAAUAUACAAUUUGAAUGGGAAAAGUGGUCAAACAAUUUGAAGAAAUACAAAGUGGCCAGUUUUCAGUCGACAACCAAACCAACCCAAAAGAGCAUUGCAAUAAUGUAAUAGCUGAAAAAGAAGAUGAGACUGAGGAGUUAGAGAAAGAAAUGAAAAGAAGUAAGGAAGAAAAAAUUAAAAAUAAGGAGAGAAGUGUUCUUGAAAAAUAUUUAUCAUAUCCUCAUCCUCCUUCAAAAAACUAGAAGGAAAGAAAAUUCUUUGACAAAUUGCUCCCUAGAAAUUAUUUUGCAGGAAAUCUAAAGCAAGAUUCAACAUUUAAGAGAUUUCUGAAGAAUAAGAGCUAUAUUGAAGAGAGAAAUAGAGAGCAGGAGGUUAGAUGCAGUGUCAUGACUCAAAAGGACUUGCUUCAAAAUUCUAAGAACUUAGGAGGUUUUAAUCUUCCCAUGUCUAUAGGUGCUUUAUUUGUGGACAAGGUUGCAUUGUAUUUAGGCGAUUUGAAGGUUCAACCCACCAAGAUGCAGUUGGCAGACAGAUCCUUCAAAGAUCCUUACGGUGUGGUUGAAGAUGUUCUUGUAACGAGGAAUAAUGCAUACAACAUGAUGCAACAAAGAGAGUUGUCCAUCUUGAAAUAAACAGGUGUCAAGCUAGAUGACGUUAAACGAGCGCUUACUGGGAGGCAACCCAGUCCACAUUUUAGUUUUAUGUUGUUUUGUUACCUUUGUUGAUUUUAUUUUUUCAAAAAAAUAAUAAUAAUAAUAAUAAAAAAUAAAAAAUAAAUCCUAUAUGCCUCCUAAUCAUUUUGCAGGUUAUGUAUUUUGACCUGGGACAGGUUCUAUUAUUCAGGGGGCAGAUCCAGCAAAUGAAGCAAGACUAUAGAUAAAGAUGUUAACAAAAAGCUGGAUGAUUUCUUAAGAAGAGAGGAUUGAAAAAAAAUAUGGUUUUAUCUUUCUAAUUCUCUUUUAUUUUCAGUUAUUUGAAUUUUAUUUUCUGUUUAGUUUUUAUUUUAUUUUUUGGUUAUUUUGUUUUCUGUUUAUUUGCUUAUUUGUUAGUUUGUUUAAAUUGCUUAUUUUGCAUUUUGAAUAAAUUUGUUGUUUUGUUAGUUUGUUAGUUUUAGGUCUUGAAAUAUCUUUGUUGAAUAAAUUUCAGUUUUAAUUUCUUUGUUUUCUAGUUUAUUUUUCUCAAAUAAAAAAGAACUAUAAUAUUAAUUUUGAAUUGUGGAAAAAAGAAUUUGUGUUUAAAUAUUAAAUAGUGUGAUGAAUUAGACACAGGUUAUUAAAGAAAAUAUGAUUGAAUCCCUAUUCAAAUAUAAUUGAAAUUGUGAUACAUGAAAAUUUAACGGGAUGAUUGAUUAAGACAGAGAAUGACAAGACAAAAAGGAAUGAAACCAAUUAAACCAAGUGAGUGUGUGAACCUUAAACAGUUUUAAGAGUUUUACUGAUGAAUUGGUUGGUUCUGAUUGUGAAACUUCAAAAAGUUGAAAAUAGGAAAAAUCUAUUCCUAUUGAUUGAAAAACAAAAAGGAAAAAAAAGAAAGAAAAAAAAAGAAAAAAAAAUUGUUGGAAAUCAUAAAAAAGGUAGAAAGAAAAAUGAGGAAAAGUGUGAUCUUGAAAGAAAGCAGUGAUUAGAUAACAUAUAUGUUCUCUAUAAGUGGGAUUAUAGGUAUGUUCUUCUUCUUUAAGAUGUGCAUUUUGUUAUUUGAAAAACCAAUGUUUUUUUGGAAGCCCGGCCUCAUUACAACCCUGGAAAAGACCUCAAGAUUCAUGUUUCUAAUAUGUUUGUGAUUUGAAGAUGAAAUGAAAAGCAACAGCGAAUCUGCGAUUUGUUAUGAUUUAGUGAAAAUAGAGAGAAACACUUACCCGUGAGCACAUGAGAAGAUAUUCCUUGAUGAAUUGUCAUUUAUUUUGUUUUGAUUUGAUCCUGGAAGUUGAUUGUGUCUAUAUUUUUCUAUAUUUGAAUUUGGAAGCAUCAUAAAUUUCUAAUUUGAUAUGUUGUUUAGUGAAUUAAGAUGUUUGAUAUUUAAAUUCAAAUAUAUUCAUUUACUUUGCUUGAGGACAAGCAAUAUUCUAAGUUGGGGAGAGUGAUAAGUGACUAAUUUCAGCAAUAUUUCAUAUUAAAAUAUAGACACUUAUGAGGAUUUAUUGCUAAUUUACAUAUAAAAUAAUCCUUAAUUUAUAAAUUAGUACAUUUUUAUAUUUUUUAUGAUAUUAUUUUGUUAAUUAUAAUAUUCACCAAUACUUAUUUUGUUCCUAGAAAUUGUGAGAAGAACAUAAAGACGUGAGAAAAGCUAAAGUUAAAGUUUCCAUUUUCAGCGUUUAAUGAGAAAACGAUGAAGCUGAAAAGCGAGAUUUGUGUAGAUCAAGGGUAAAGCAAUAUAAAAAAUAUAUUUAUGAAGAUUUGAAAAGAGAAAGAUGUUCAAAGCACAAACAAGUCAUAAGACGCAUAUCUAAACAUUCCUAUUCGAACGUCUAAUACGAAAGAGAACAUGUACAAUGUAAAAAUAGAAAGAUCUAAGUCCAAAGAUGUUCAAGCUUCAACGAACAAAGUUUAUACAUAAGAAGAAAGUAUUUUAAAAGCAAAUACAUGUUAAAGGCACACAGAUUUCACCAAAGCGAAUAUUUAUUAUUCUCGCCGGUUGACCUUCGGGUUGACUGGAUGGGCAAGCUCCGCUUCUAAUCUGUCUCCUCUUGGUGCACUGGAACAACGCUUCGCUGAGAAAGAGGAGGUUCUACUUGUUGAUCACACUCCGAUGAUCAAGUCAGUGAGAGUAUACAAAAUAAUAAUCAGUUUCAGUCUCUAACACUCAAAAACAACAUACCUUUACCUGGGGUCUCAAGCUUCUUUUACAGUUAUUCCUCUAACAGCUUUCACUCACGAGAAUAUAAUCUGCACUGAAAGCAUAAAAUAAUAACACAAAACCACCUGCUCACGUGCACCUUUCAUGUUUGGGUGCUAACAACAUGAAAAUAUUUUGUCCACGAGACCUUUACUCACGGUGCUAACAACAAAAGAGAAUCUCAUGCACCUUUAUUCUCGGGUGCUCUCCACUUAUUUAACAGCUUUAUAUAUUCAUCUAAUAGCUUUAUUCAUAUAUUUAUUUAACUAACAACUUUGUGUAUAUUCACAAUAUUUUAUUCUAACAGCUUAAUAUAUAUCAACAUAUAUAUUUAACUAACAACUUUAUAUUAAUAUACGACCAAACUUAAUAUUUUCUCUAUUUUAAUAUUCUCCAUCGAGUUUACCAACGAAAUUGGGCCGAGCCCAUUACUCGCUUGUGGGCCCAAAACCAAGCUGACCAUACCCAAAUACUUGGACCGAGGCCCCAAGCACACGAGCACUUCAGUACACAAACUCCCCAAGUUCGAGCCAAGCUUGACUAGGCGAAAAGGCUUUCUAGCGCUUUGGCGGCUGACACGAUGAUUUCCCUAAUGGGUAGGUGAGGUGUAGUACACAAAGUGCUUCUGAGGUGACGUCUCACCACACUUAAUCCAGAGCGUACACGUGGCGUCUUCAUCAAUAGUGGGAAAACAUUGCCGUUUGGCAUUCCCUUAUUCGAAUAAGUCCAUGAAACCUCACCCUACUUCACUGUUUCAUUUCUCUAAAACCCUUUUCUCUUCUCUUACCCUUCACGUAACCUUUACUCUUUAGAAAAUCUUGCGCUUUCUGAACUCUCUUACAAAAAAUAUUCCUUUACACUUCUUCUUUCCUUACCACACCAGGUAUUUUCCCUCUACUAUUUCUAUUGUCGAAUUCUCAUUCGUUUUACCGAUUAUGUUGGUCUAAACUGAGAUUUUUCUUUCAUUUCGCAUUCGUUGCUUGAACUGUGCCUGUAUCUGUUUUGUGUUUGUGCUUUUGCUAUAUAUAUAAUUGCGAUGGAUUACCAUACCAUGUAUCCUUGGGCCCCAAAAAACCUUUUAGAUGAAACCUCCUUCUAUACCUCUUGUGAGCGUGUUGUAACCUUAAGAAAAAGUGGUUGUCACUUUGGUAAGGCGCAUGAUAGAUUUGUAAUAAUAUUAGCGCGUAAGGAGGAUGAGCCUGUGUGUUGCGAUGAAUCCUCAGACCCCGAGGGUCCAUUUUGCUUCUUUUACACUAUUGUGUUUAAAAAAGUCCUCCUGCGUCUACCCCUGUCAAUUUUUGAAAAGAAUUAUUAAUCGAGUUCAACGUAGCUCCUGCCCAGCUACAUCCAAAUAGUUGGACAUUCAUUCGUGCCUUUACCAUUCUCUAUUCACAGCUCGACAUUUUUCCGACUGUGGAGGUUUUGCUUUAUUUCUUUAAGGCCAAACAUUCGGGUCGCCAACUAUGGGUAUCCUUAAACGGUGUCCAUGGAAGAGUCUUGCUCACCCUCUUCCAGUCUUCCUACAAAAACUUCAAAGGCAAAUUCCUCAAAAUUCGAGCUAACAAGGCAGAUCCGACCCUUUUGGACGAGUUUCCUUUAUAUUUGACCUCAGAACCCAGAUUCCAGAGCGCUAGGCGCCUGGACGACCUGCCCCCAUCAGAGCAGGAGGUCUGCAAGUUCUUAAUGAACCUAAAGGUCACCUUUGACACUUCCUUCUGAGUAAAGAGUACACUUUCGGUGCUCUGAAGGCUUAUACCGGUACUUCUCAUUCCCUACCUUUAGUGAGACUAACCUUGUUGUUAUUAUUAACCAUUCACUUGUAUUCUUUGCAGAGAGGAUGUUGUCCAAAAUUAGCAAGAGGGAGCUAGAAGAAAUAGCAAAGAGGAUGAGGGCAACUGCCAAGAUGCUCGAUGAAUCUCUCAAACAAAAGAAGGCCCCAAAGAUAGUCGCUUAAACUUCAAUCGAGCAAGACGAGAAGACCACCUCUAGGUUGGUCUUUAAGAGAAAAAGAAUUGCGACUACUCCCCCUGCUAAGCACUUACACUUUGAUGGUUGAACUCCUCAUUCAGGCAUUGUUCACUCCGAAGGCCAUCAAGAUGUAAUAUUGUUCAAGAGUGCGAAGCUGGGAGCUCCGAAGGGAAGAACCUGUGGGAUCCAAGCCUUGAUAUUCCUACAUACUUUGAGAAGGCCUUCUUGCCUAACGAAGAUAGAGAUAAAAUCAUGGCUUUCGACGAAUACCACUAGGUUUGUGAUGCCAUGAAACAAAUUGGGCAAGCUUUCGCCACGGUUUGCUUGGUUGUGACCAAGAUGAAAAGUUGGAGGGUGGCAGAGGACCUGAAGGCCCAAGAUGAGCUCCACAAGAAAAUAAAACGCCUAAAAAAUAAGGUCAAGCUUUCCAACAACUUGCAACAAGAAGUUGAGCGACUUCGAGCCGAGAAAGCUAAAGAGGCAGCAAAAUGAGCCCAAGUGGCUACAUGCCUAGCUGAAGAAAGGUGCAAACUCUCGACAAACUGAAAGAAGAAAUGGCUUGAAAAGAUGAAAACUUCGUGAUGAGGACCUAUAAGAGGGUGCGCCCACUGACUAGCCCAACCUUCCAGGAGGAUGACUCAAAGCAUGACUCAUGAUACAGGGCUAGGUCAGGAUCCAAAUCUAGCCAAUACAACACCUAGCUUUUCUUAGAGGAUCACCAGGAGUAGAGCACAGGCCUUGGGAGCUGAGCAUCAACUAGUAUCUUUAUGUUUAAUCUUAGUAGAAUAGAUUUCCUUUAGCAUAAUAAGGGGGUAUGUUUAUCACUUUAGCUUGAGCAUAGGCUUUUAGGGUAGGAUUUUGACCUAUCUUCUAGAAGAUUAGGCCUUAGAAUGCUAGGGCCGCCCCACCUUUUCCUUCUUAUCCUACCCUUGCUUCAUCUUGUUUAGGGUGUCUUACUCCAUUUAUUUACAAGUUGAAAUAUAUAGAAGAAGGAAAACUCUGCACAAAUUGUGUGAGGCUUGUUACUCUGAGCAUUAAGUCUUAUCUUGAGUGAGUUGAGAGCUCUCAAGUGGCGGCCCUCUACACUCAUCUUGGAGGAAUCCACACUUCAAUUGACGUGUCCACUCUCAUUUCAUCUCCAUAAGCUUUCUUUCCUUUCAUCCUUUCUUCCAUUUUCCAUUACACUUUAAUCUUUGUGUUGGUACUUUUGUUUUUCUACAAUUCAAUUUCGGGUUCCUUCCAUAUCAUGUGUUUCCUUUCAUGUCUUUUACAUUUCGCACCAUACAUCAUGUCACCAUAUAAUGUGUUUUUCCUUUUGCCUUUGGAAGUGAACAUUAACACUUACUUAACCACUUGGUUAAGUUCGUGUCCAGUGGAAAUCUUCCCUAGUUCUCACCAUAUAAUUGUUAAAAAUCUCAUUCAUAAGUAAAGUGUCACCUCUAAAAUGGAACAAUCUAAAAUAAACUCACAUCACUUUGCCAAUACUACAGAGGCAUUCAAGUUGGAUGUUGCCCAAUCCUACCUUGUGGGGUUCGAGGUAGCUAUUGAAAAAGCAGCAGGAAUCCAUCCUGAAAUUGACUAUUCCAAACUCGACCUGGGUAAAACCGUGGUUGAUGGUCAAUUAAGGGACGAAUAGCUUGAACUUUUACAUGUCUGUAAAAUAUUAUCCUUCCUUGCUAUUUGAACAGUUUACCACUUUUAUAUUUAUGGCCUCUGAAUCACUUUAUAACUAUUUUAAAACCUUUGUGAAUGCAUGACAUGCUACUUAACAUGGUAACUUCGACUAGCUUAAAUUACUUAUCAUAUAGCAAACCUUGACUAGCUUAAGUACAACAACUAUUGUUAAUAUACAUGCAGAUAGUUUAACACUUAAGCUAGCUCAUCUCUAUAUCUUGAGUAAUAAAGAUAACAAGAAUCCGACCUAGGCAAACAUAAGCCUGAUGAAUAGUGGAAUUCUCACUUAACAAAGAACUAACCUUUUGAUGAACUAUACACCCAUAGCCACGACAAGCUUAUGCUCAAUCUCAACGUGCAUAGGUGUAUUUCACCAACUUGGCCAGGGGCCACAUGUCGUGAUCUCGCUAAGCUUUGCUUCGUAGAGCACCUACUCGGAUAGUCGCACCCUUCCGAGCUUGGUCGUCUUAUCCUGUGUCAAGAAUGGUUCAUUCCUCUCCCAGGGUGCCUAAACUCGGAUACUCACUCAUAUACCAAGCUAACCCCUAACUACCAAAGGUAUGGACGAAUGAUUCUACUAUGCAUCAUUCAUCCAUUUCACAGAGUGCCUGAACUCGGGUGAUUGCUCGCGCACCGAGUUAGCCCGACUUACCAUGCACUUAAACAAUACUUAUUUGCACAACGCCUAUACUUGGGUGAUCGUUCUUACACUGAGUUAAGUUGUCUUAUCUUGCCUCGAGCCAAACAACUUAGUUAUAACAAAUCAAACUGCAGAGUGCCUGUACUCGGGUGGUCGUACUAACACCGAGUUAGGUCGUCUUACCUGACACUAGAUAACCAAUUUAUACACAGGGCACCUAUACUUGGAUGACUCUAUUCACUCCGGACUAGGACGUCUUACCAUGCCUUAUUGUUUAUCAAUGCAGUGAGCCUACUCGACCAAUUGAGUUACGUCUUACCAUGCCUUAUUGCUUGCCAAUAUAGUGCGCCUACUCGGCUGAUCGAGUUACGUCUUACCGUGCCUUAUUGCUCAUCAAUACAGUGCGCCUACUCGGAUGACUGAGUUACGUCUUACCGUUCCUUAUUAGGGUGUUAACAGACUUGCCUAUGACGUAUAAAUACAUGCAAAAAUACUUUGCCACAAAUACUCGGUUAAUUAAGCUCACAUGGCGUUUAUACUUGGUUAACUUUGUUUGUUCCGAGUUAGGUCCACUUACUAUGUGCUUAACAACAAAUUCAUCUUCAGAGGGCGUCUAUACUCAGAUGACUCUAUUCAUUCUGAGCUACGUUGUCUUACCAUGUGCUAAUUCAACAAAACUAAUGCACCAUCUUCCAAGAAAAAACUUAUCAUUAGAUGACCUCGUUAAAAAAACCCCUUCAAGGGAAAAAGAGAAUCACCUUAAACAUCAUAUUGUUCAAUAAGAAAGAAUUAAAACAAAACAUCUUAAUUGAAGUAAAACUUCAGAUUUUCCGUGUUCCACGUUUGAGGAAUGGCUCCCCCCUCCAGGGUUUCUAGCCUAUACGCUCCAUUUCUGAGCACCUCGACUACGCGAAACCUGCCAGUCCACUUCAGAGAUAACUUGUUUUCUAACUGAUAGGGAUAGGCCUUUCGCAUCACCAAGUCAGCAACCUCCUCUUUACAACCUCCGAGUUAAUACGGGCAUGCUCGCGCACCUCGUCUAUCAAGUCCAAAUUCACCUUCCUUCUUUUGUUGGAUUUCUCCACAACAAAACUUUGGUACCGAGGGGAGUUCUCCUGGAUUUCCACUGGUAUCAUGGCAUUUGACCCAUAUACCAAACUGAAGGGCGUCUCUUUGGUUGUUGACUGAGGGGUGGUGUGAUAGGCCCACAAAAUUCUGGGAACUUCCUCUGACCAAGUUUCUUUUGCCUUCUCGAACCUCCUUUUCAACCCUCUCAACAAGACUUUGUUAGCUUAUUCAACUUGACCAUUCGUUUGAGGGUGUUCUAUCGAGGCAAAGAUCUUCUUUAUCUCUAGCUCCGAGCAUAGCUUACCCAACUGUUGACUAGCAAAUUGGGUUCCAUUGUCGGACACUAGGUGCCUCGGGAUCCCAAAACGACACACAAUGUUCUUCCACACAAAAUGUUGCACCUUGUGGGUAGUUAUUUGUGCAACUGGCUCAACUUUGACCCACUUGGUGAAGUACUCGAUCGCCACAAUAAGGUAUUUCAUCUAACGUAUCGCCAAAGAGAAAAGACUCAAGAUGUCUAUUCCCUAAGUAUGGAAAGGUCAUGGGCUAUAAAUCGAUCGCCACUCCUCGGUUGGUGCGUGAUGUCAAUCAGCAUGCUUCUGACACUACUCAUAGUGUUGUGCAUACUUCACACAAUCCUCCUUCAUGGUUGGCCAAUAAUACCUAGCUCGGAUGACUUUCAACGAGAGAGCUCGUCCUCUUAUGUGGCUACUAAAAAUGCCCUCAUGGAGCUCGGUCAUGAUGCGGGUACACUGAUCUCCACUCACACAAGUGAGGAUUGAGUGUGUAUAGUCGUGACGAAAAAGUUUGCCAUUUGUCAGGGUAUACUUCCUCACAUUCCAAUUAACUUUCUUAGCCUCUACAGGCUCGGCAGGAAGUAACCCAUCAGCUAGGUAAUGUUGGUAAGGGGUUAUCCAAGUCUUUGUGGUGUUGACCUGCAAAACCUUGAGAAACUCAUCCCCCAACAACCUAUAGGUAAUUUAUCCUAGGGACUUUCAGGGUCUCCUAAGUCAUCGACCGAUGUCUUCUCCCUUUUUCUAAGCUUACACCCAAGACCUCCACGUGACUGACCUCGGCUGGUCCUUCUUCAAUUGUCUUGGGUGACUUCAAGGUCUUCUGAAUGACUGAAGGACCUUGUGAAUGGGCAGAUCAGUAAUCACAAUUACGGUGAAGCUCUGAAAGUAGUGGCAAAGUUGUUGAGCUGUAAAUAUCACAACUAAGGCAGCUUUCUCGAUAGCAUGAUAUCGAGUUUUUGGUCCCUGUAGUACCUUACUCAUAAAUUAGAUCGCCUUUUGGACCUUAUCCUAGUCUUGCAAAAUGACCGAGUUAAUUGCCCAAUCUGUAAUCACACAAAAAAGACGAAUAUGGGUAUCAAGAAUUGUAAUAUGUCAUGCUCCAAAUAUGUAUUUUUUCAAACUUUUUUUACUCUAAACAAUACAUAUUACACUGGUUGGUCUUUUCAACCGUUGUAAUAUGUCACGCUCCAAUUAUAUAUUUUUUAAAAUAUUUUUUCCUCUGAACAAUAAAUAUUACACCAGUUGUCAUUCCAACCGCUAUAAUAUGUGCAAAAUAUUUACAAAAAUGCCACCGUAUUUUUGUUUACACCGAUUCUCAAUUAACCGACGUAAUAUAUUAUUGUAGAAUGCGUUAUUUGUAAUAGUGUAAAAAACAAAGCAUUUUGAGCUUAAUCUUCAUUUCAUCUGGGAUUGUACUCAAAACAAGUUUUGUUGAUCAAGUUAUUGAUCUUCUCGCCAAACUCUUUGAGGAUCAUCUUUACAAACUAUUUAUACUAAAUUUAUGAUUAUUACUAAACCAACCAUAAUUGAUGGAAGGAUGUUAGAUAAUAUAUAUAGUGUCUAAUGUAUUAGAUAAUGAGUAUUUCACUAGACGGUAUAGAUGAUAACUUUAGAUGAUAAGCAUUAGACGGUAGCAUUGAAUAGUCGAUAUAUAGUCUAAUGUUAUGCUUUAUUUUCAGUUCCACUUGCUUUCUUUUUGUUUCUUUACAUUUUGUUUUUUUGUUUUCCAUCUCAGUUUAUAUACUGAAAGAUUGUUUAUGUAUGACGUGAGUUUUCUGAAUGAAAUUGUUCUCUUUUCAGUCUUAUCUUCUUCUCCUUCCUAAAGGGACAUUAAUUUGGUGUUAUCCGAUCGGUAUAAUAAAGGUACUGUGCUCCACAUCCAUUUAAUGAAUAUAUAGGUCGUUCGAAUAAAAUAUUUGUUUGUUCCAGCAAAAUAAUACUUUAAAAAUAUGAAUUGCUUCUUCUUGUUACUUUCAGCCACACUUGCAUAUUCAAUCUCAACAUUAUCCCUUCCCCACAUAAAUCCUUUCUUGGCCAACCACUUCCUCUAAUUACCAUAUCGUUACAUCAUUUAUUUUAUUUCAUAUUUCCUUCUUUUUCUUCUCUUUUAUUUCUCUUAAGAAUAAAAUCUAUUUUUAUAAAAUUAAUAUGGAAGCAAUAUUAUUAUUUAAAGAAUACAUUUUAAUGUGUAUAUUUUUUACCAAGAGACAAGUUUGUUGCCGCAUUCAUCUCUAUAUCUGAUUUUCUUUUCCAUUAUUUAAUGUUUGAGGCUACAUCUAUGGAUUUUUACUCGUGAAAAUGCAUCCAUUAUUUUAAUAAAAGUAAUUAGCUGAAUUAAAAACAAGUAACUGUCCCUUUGAGAUUAUAAUUAUUUUGUAGUCAUUAAACUAUUUGUUCCUUCUUAUUAAUUAAACAUCAUUUUAGGAGAACAGUCUAAAUAUCUACAGUUUAAACUAUAAGUUGAAUAUUGUACACAUGUCACUACAACUUCAUUUAAUACAUUUAAGCAGAUCCUAGUUAUAGUUUAAUAUUUUUUUUAAUAGUAUAUGUAAUAUAUUUUUUUAAACUAUAAACAAAGUUUUAUGCUAUUAGUUACAUAAAAUUUAAAACGUGGUUCUUCGUGUUCAUCAAUUUACUUCUCUGACUUAUGUAAUAGUAAUCUCUUGACCAUACGUUAUGUUAAAAUCUGCUAUCUCAUUUCACUAAAACAAAAUUCUUUAAUAUAUUAAAACUUUCACUAUUAAAUUAUCUAAGCAUAAUAUUAUAAAGAAUUAAAAUAUAACAUUAAAAGCAUCCAAAUAUGAAAUUAAAAAUAACUAAACAAAUCUUGAGGCAUUUAAAAAACAUAAGAACUAACUAAGCAUUAUUAAAAAAAUCAUAAAUAAAAGACUUGAAUUUAAAUUUAUAUAUAUAUAUAUAUGAUAUAUUUAGGACAUGAAAUGUAGGUAUUAUAAUACUUUUACCUUUAUUCAUCUCCUCUAAAAUUUGUACAGGAAUAACAAUAUGAACUCGUCCAUCUCGCAUUAGGCUUGCAAAAUGGGGUUGGAUCGGUUCGUUCCGUAUAAGAAAUGUAGGUUGGAUCGGUUCGUUCCGUAUAAGAAAUGUAGGUUGAUUUCACUGACUCAUCACGCAUAAAAGUAGGUUCGCAGCUUUUGGGCCAAUUCGCAUAAAAAAUGUUUUUAUAAAAAAUUAAUGAAAAAUAUUUUUUUGUUUAUUAAAUUAAUUAUUUUUCUUAUUUAGAUGAAUUAGGUAAAUUGUCUUAUAGUAUUAUUCUCACGACACAUGGAUAAGAGUAAAAUCAUUAUGAUGUUAUGAUUUUCAAUGAAAUUUGGAUUUUAAUCAUACUAAUAAAUUGAUUAUAAUAAAAUAAUUUAUUAAAUAUAUACACUUUUUUUAAAGUAAUACAUGUAGACAUAUUAUUACUAUUUGAAAAAAUAGUAUAAACAAUAUUUAUAAUAUAUAUAUAUAUAUAUUAAUAUUAUAUUUAAAUUUUAUUAUAAAAAUGACUUAAACUACUACAGUAUUGAAACCUAAACAAUCUAUGCAUUUAAGAAAGACAAAAAAUGACUACAUAUAAAAAAAUCAUUAAGUCUUCCUGCACCUCCAUACCUUUCUUCCUACAUCCUAUACGAAAAAAAAAAAAAAAACUCAAAUUACUCUUUGACAUUUUUCAUUUAACGUUUUUCUUUAAUUUCAUAAUGUAGAAUUCAAAGACUUCUCAUGUUAUAGAAUCCUAAAGUUAAAAUUUGUGUUUCAGAUUGUACAAUCUAGAUACAAUGUAUUCUCGAUUGCAUUGCACAUUUAAUAUAAGUUUUGUAUUUUGUAUUUCAGUUAGUAGAAUUUAGACCGUUCUAUGCUUAGUUCACAUAAACUACAAGUUAUAUGUGAAAACAAGUCAACGAAUUAAAUUAACUAACUUAUUUAAAAAAAUUUCUUAUCAAAUUCAAGUCAACCUUCAAAAGUCAUCUCAUAUUGUAAUUCCAAAUAUAGAUAUUGAUUCAUUCCAAAAUAAACAAAUAUUUAAGAUUUGAAUACUUUAACAACUUAACAGACUUAUCUAACUAAUAAAUUGAGAAAAAGUGAAAAUUACAUAUCAGAGUAUAUACAUUAUUGUUAUUCUUUUCUAAUAUGUUUUUAAUUUUUAUUUAUUCUUAAUUAUUUGUCUCUUUUUAUCUUUUUUAGCUUCAAUUCUAAAUUUAGUUUAAAGUUUUUAAAAUAUUUUCUCUAUGAUAACAAAAAAAAAUGUUCAUCACAAUAUAAGUUUUUAUUGUAAGUUCUAAAUAUAAUAUAUUUAAAAUAUUUUAUUUUAAAUUCUAAUUAUAUAAAUUAAAUAUGUAAUAAAUACUAUAUAAAAUAGAGGCACCAUAUUUUUAUCCAUAUAUUAUUAUUAGUUUUUAGCUUGUACUCCUAUUAUAGAUAUAAACUUGUCAACCUUUUUUUUUGUGUGUAGAUUAAUGUUGGAGAGAAAUAGACAUUGAGUUGUACUUGAAGAUAGUACAUGAAAAGUAAUGUUAAAUUAAUGAUAAUAAAUAUAUAUAUAUAUAUAUAUAUAUAUUAAUUUAUAAUCAUUCAUGUCUAUUUUUUCCAAAAAUGAUCAAACAGUAAAUAUAAUCCAACAAAAUAUUAGAUAUUAUAGUACAAGUAAAAAAAAUUGUGCAUAAAAUAUGUUUAUAGAAUUAAGAAAAAUUUAACACGCUGUUUCUCAAAAAAAUUAUCAAAAUAGAUAAAUACUAAAAUAAUUACAAAAUUAAAUAAGUCAUGUUUAAUUUUUUUUUUUAUUGAAGUGUUGAUUGAUAACUUGUAUUUAUUAAAUCUAAUUUUAUAAUUUUGAUCUCAUUUAUCCAUAAUUUGUCAUUAUAUUUUCCAAAAAAUUGAACUAUGAAAAUAAAUUUUGGUAGAUCUGAAUGUGCUCAUUACUUAUGAACGAGUGAGUACAUAGAUCUGGAAAUACAUUGCCCAAAUCAGUAUAGUUGAAUGGGAAGCAAUGGAAUCACAUUAUGUGAUGAUAAAAUAUAAAACUGAAAAAAUGAAAACCAUAUUCCGAACCAAAUAGUCCAAUCUAAAGAGAUUGUAACUUAAACUACUUUCUCCACAAACAUACAAUUCUUAUUAAUUGCCUUCUUCAAAUCUUGAAGCCCAACAUGGGCACCACAGAACACGGUUCUCUGCAUGCGACUCACAUCACUCACCGUUACGUUCCUCACGCUUUCCCAUUCGCAGCUUCCGCCAUUAUUCCCAACCUCGCACACAACAAUUUCCUCCGCUUUCCAUAGGUUCUGAAAAUACACAGAAUUCCCAAUCCAGUUAACCUCAAUCGAACCAGUACCCAUAAUCUUCACCAUCAACUCCUUCGGCAUCGCUGCUAACUCCUCACACCAAUACCCUAAUUCACUUUCCAACGCUAAUUCCCCUUUCACUUCCCACAACUUCACCUCCUCUACCUUCUCCGCCUCGCCCACCAUCCCCGCCACCAUUAAACGACCGCCUAUCGCUCCGGUCACGCAGUGGAAAACACUUCGAUCCGGACGCACCUCCAACGGGCCAUUCCACGUCAUCGUGUUGCAAUCCAGCGAGUACGUCACGCCGGAGUUUUUCUCCGUCACGUACAUCCUCUCCCCGACGACGGCGGUCGAGAGCCACGUGGAAGCGGAGGAGUCCUUGAGAAUGGCUGGCAUCGACUGGCAGCGCGUCCACGCGCGGGACUCCAUGUCGUAUACCUCCACCGCCAGGGGAUCGUCCUCGAAGUCGCACGCGCCUCCCGCCAGCACGAUGCGAGGUCCCACGCGCGCGACGAUGGGGUCUAUGCGAGAGACGCGUGGGGAACACGCGUGGUGCCAGUGGAGACGGAGGGGGUCGAGGGAGAAGGCGAACUCGCAGGGAGAGAGCGUGUAUAGGAGUGUGGAGUGCGAGGCGCGCAGGGGGGAGGUGUGGUUGGGAUGCGGCGCGUGGAUUUGGAACCAGGUGCGGGAGCGUGGGUCGUAGGCGAAGGUGGUGGUGAGGUGCAGUGCACGGGGGUUCUGGAUGUGCAGCGUGAGCCAGGGUUUGACGGGGUUGACGUGGCGGAGGGAGGUGGAGAGUGCACGGUUCCAUGCACGUGACACGUGAGAAGGUGAGACGAGGUGGAUGAGUGGCAAGUGAGAGAAUAUAAUCUCUAAGAUGUCUCCUUGAAUGGGAGCUUCGCUAUGGUCCGUCUUUUCUCUUUCCUCACUGCAUGUUUCCAUCUCUCAAUGCCUCCUUUAUUUUAUUUCACCCUCUCUUUAUAUAUAGAGUAGCACAAUUCAAUUAUAGGAGGAUCCCACCAAAUUUCUUCAUUUUUCACACAAAUUCUUAUUAUUUUCUUUCAUUUUAAAUCAAACUUAAUUCUCUUAUUUAUUUAUUUCCUUUAUUUGAUAUUAAGUCCCUUCAAACUCACGACACAAACUUUUCCUAUGUGUUUAAUGUAUUUCACCAAAUUAAUAUGUUCAUAUCACAAACUAUUUAAUUUAGCUUCUUGAAAUAAGUUAUUCCACCAUUAAUUAUGCACAUCUUCUCCCUUUUACUCAAGUCUUUUCACUAGAACCAUAUAGAUAGUUUUGUCUAUUUUGAAUAAUGUGAGUCCCAAAAAAAAUAUUUAAACUAGUUUUAGUCUUCUUCUUUUUUCAAAGAAGUUUAUUUGAAGAGAUUUAAAAGAAAAUUAUAAAAAUUUGAAGAUUGUUUUAAUUAAGAUAUGUAAAAUGAAUUUCUAACCAAAUUUAUUAAAAUUUAUGAGUAAUGAGAUGAUAGUGAGAGAAUUUUUAAUAUUGUUCUAGCGGGCUACAGUGGUGGUUUUUAUCUCUCUUUCCUUUUGUCUUUGUCGCAAAAUCCAACGGAGGGUUUUCCACCUGUUGAUUACACCCCGAUCAAGUCAGUGAGAACACUUAUAUAUUAUAAUGUGGUGUAAAUAUCGUAGAGUCAACUUACUUGGUGGUUAGAGUCUCAAGGUCUUUAAUAACAAUCGUCAAGAAGAUAACUACAUAAUUAAUUCGUUACUAUUUUUCCUCGUAUUUUAGAGUUAUAUUUUUGUAGAGUAUAGUCUCUGAUUGUGUCUUUCUGUUUUAAAUAAUUAACUGAAUUAGUUAUAAUACACAUUUAUUGUUUGGGCUGCAUUAACCUUUAUCAAAAGUGAGAAGUGGACACUCUUUUAGAGACACUGAACUUUAUCAUGUUUGAGUCGAUUUCUAGAAUUAUAGUAUGCUCAAUAGAUACUGCCCUUACCGAUGAGUUAGGAACUCAAAUAUUUAGACUAUAUACUGAAUAUACCCUGAUCAGUACAAAUAUCUUUAAAAAUAUUUGAAUAAUGAUUGAUAACUUGUUCAUCAAAUUUUAAUUAAGACUAUCAAAAUAUCUUACACAUUAUUGUCUAACAUGUGUAAUAAGAAUAAAUAUAUAAAAACUUUGAAACCAAACACACUGUAAAUGAAAUCUUAUACUCCGAUGAAAUUUUUGUCUUAUUACCACAAAAUUAUUUUUUGUUAGACUAACCUUUAAUUUAUAUUUUAGAGAAUUUACUUAUUAGCUAAACAUCAAAACAAAAAUUGCCCUUAAUUUAUCUUCGUACUUAGACGAAUGAAGAACAAACAAUUUACAAUUUUUUUUAAUUGUGUUAAAAUAAUCAAGGUCCCUUUAAUCAAUGUUUUUAGAUAUUGAUUAAAGAAAUUAAAAGAGGGAUUUCUUUUUUAAAUAAUGUGAGAGCGUAUUAAAAGUUCGUAGGGGAGUGUAUUUCUCCGCUUCUCAAUAAAAAAGUUUCCUCCUUUAAUAAAUAUUUUUUAUUAAUUCUUAGUUAACAUUUUCCAAAUAAUUAAUUGUUCAUAAAAGAGAGAAAGAGCCAUCCGAAGCAUUUAUUAGUUAUAUACUAAGAUCGUUAAAGAUAUUUUGAUGAAAAAUAAUUAAUACAAAACAAUUAGGAAAAAAAAGGUCUUAUAGUAGAGAUAGGGAAAUUUUAAAACAAUAUAUACCAAUUAGUGACAAAGAGAGUACUUUAUAUAAUUAUAUUUAUAUAAAAAAUUUAAAAUAUAAAUUAUAUUGUAAUAAAAGUUACCUUAUAAGCACAAAAAGAAAACAGAAAAAAGAAACUAAUCUAAGAGUCUCUCCAUUAAAUUAACAAAACUAAGUAGAAGCACACAAUAUAAUCAAACUUUUAUACUAUAAUGUAAUUUCAAUACAGUAAAAAAAGAGACUAAGAUAACGUAAUAAAAUGUACGCAGACACAUAAAAAGAACUUUCUUAUUGUGUAAUAAUUAAAAAAAAUCUCGUUUUUUCAAUGUAUAUUAAAAGAUAUUGUACAUAUUUACGAAGAGCUUUACUAAAAUUUAGUUUAAACAAUUCUCUUUACAACUUCUUAUAAAAUUGAAUAAAUUGAUUUUUAAUUAAAAUUUAAAUAUAUUUUAUAAUUUGUCGAAAUUGAACUAAUAUUCUUUCUCAAAUUUAAGAUUAAGAAUUUAAAAUAAUUAUUAUGUUAGGAAUGUAGAAUGCGUCUAAACCUAGAAACAACUUUUUAAUAAAAAUAAAUUAAAAUUAUGAUUCAUGUUGAUGCUAAGGGUAUGCUUCAACAACAUCUUCAAAGAACAACUUGACUUUAAACAUUGAUAUUAAGCAUGUUUCUCCAAAAACUAACACUUGUCUCAAUCUAAAUCUAAGUUAGUUCAACACCUACCUAUCUAAACUUGAUGUAUUAAUCUUCUUAGUUAAUCACUACUUGAUUUACUCUUUUAAGUGAUCAGAUCAUAAAAAGAAGAGAAAUACGAGAAAAAUAAUUUUAAAUAGUAUAUUAAUUAUUUAUACUUAUUUUUAAUUUAAUUUAAUUUUUAUUAAUGACAAAUAUUUAUUUAAUCUCAUUUGAUUUUUCAUAUAUAUAUAUAUAUAUAUAUAUAUAUAUAUAUUCUCAUUUUUUUACUAUUUGUUUUUGUAUGUGAUAAGCUUUUGGUUUAGAAGAAAAAAAGGUGGACACGUCAUAAUAACGUGGUGGUCCUGAGCCUAACCCAGUUAUGUGUGGUCCCAAGCUAUUAUUACUUUUUGGAUGAAAUAAUGGAUUUGAGAGAAUAAAAAGAAGGAAAAGAGGAUGAGAAAUGAGACGAUUUAGAUUAAGAAAAAAAGUAUUUAUUUUUGGAUGAAAUGAUUGAUUUGAGAGAAUAAAAAGAAGGAAAAGUGAGUGAAAAAUGAGAUGAUUUAGAUUAAGAAAAAAUAAAUAAAUAAGAGUGUAAAUUUGUUUUUUUUAGUGUUUUGAUAGAUAUAAUAAAUUUUAAAAAAUUAUAAAAUAAUUUAAUGUAAAUUUUUUAAAAUAUAGAUUCAAAUUAAAAUAUUUUUUUUAAAUUAAUAUAAAUAUUAAUAAAAAUACAUAUUUGAAAAACAAAUUAUAAAUGUUAAAUAUAUAUAUAUAUAUAUUUAAGAAGUCAAUUUUAAAUUUAUAUCAAUCUCAUAAAAACCAGUUCAAUAAAAUGAAGUUAUGAAAGAUUCUAAUAUUUAAUCAUAUUCAACAUUUAUAUAUUAAAACAUAACUUUUGUAAUGAAGCUUUGUUCGUUAAUUUCUUUACAAAUGCAAAGAAAACACCUUUUUAAUAAUUUUGUUAUUGUUUUUCCACCUUUCUCUACACUGUUUCCAUCGAUUUUCUGGCGCCUAGAAACAGAUCAUUAGUGAUGGAAACGUCACUUCAAAGAGUAAAAGGCUUGGCCACUUAUACACAGUGGAUUGACAUGUGUUUGGAUUUUGAAAGAAGUAAUUAAUGAGACAACAACACGUUUGUAAGAGAUCCAACAACAUUUGUGUGGCCUUAUGAUAAUUAUGGCCUACAUAUUCUUAAAUGCUUCUCUCAAUCUUCCAUCCCUAUUCAUUCUUUUUUUCUUCCGACGUUGGAAAACUUUGCCCUGUUUGCUCAUAAAACAUGGGGCAUGUCUCCUUUCCACUUUUCUUACUCCAUUUCCUUCGUGAUAUAUGCAGUGCUUCUUGGAUUUGAUGGACUUUAAUGAAGUGAUAGUUGAAGGAAGAGGAGGUAAGUAUUAUCACCCCUACAUUUCAAAUUUAAUGAUUUUUAAGAAUUUUUUUUAAAUGAACUAAGAAAUGAAAUUAUAUGAAGAAAAGUUAUAAAAAAGUAUUUAUUUUUUAAUAAUUAUUUUAAAUAUUAUACUAAUUUCGUUUAUAUUUCAUGACAUUAUAUAACUAGUUCAUAACGAUUCAAUAUCAAAUUAAAAUUUACUAAAUAAGAAAUAAAAUUAGUAUGAUUUUCAAUUUUUAUACAUUUUAUUUAUUGAGGUCUCAAGUUCCUUUUAUUGAUAUCCCUUUAACGAUUUUUUCAAAUUUCACAAAGUGAGAUUUUAUCAGGGAGAAUAUAAUCUCAACAGAAAACAUAUAAUCAUAACAGAAAAAACAUAUUACUUAUGUGCACCUUUAUCUUCAGGUGCUAACUGUUAGAAUUGUAGACCUUAAACAAGAGGGGGUGAAUUGUUUAUAAAAUAUUUACGCAAAUAUUGAAGGUAUAGAGAAAGCCAACGAAGAAUCAAAGAGAAAGAAACCAAGUUAGCAAAGAAACAAAUUUGUUUUAUUAUGUUUCCAAAAAAUCAACUGGUUGUUUAUGCGAUUCAACCGGUUGUUUUUAUCAACAUUUAAUAAAAAUAAACCAAAACAGAUUUAAAUGAGAUUAAGGAUAGAAAGAAUUACACAACAAAUUUAUAUUGGUUCACUCUUAUCCAAGAGCUACAUCCAGUCCCCAGGUAUUCCACUAAGCAAUCAAAUAACCUUGAUUACAAACCACACACCAAAGAGGUGAUCUUGAACCCUUCAAUAUCACACACCUCCUUUGGCAAACAACACACCACAAAUCACAUAACACCUUCUGGAUUUGCGCAGAACACGUUUACACAGAAUUACAAUAUUCAAGAGAGAAAAUGAAUGAUCACACCUGAUACAAAUUGAAUUCAAAAGUUACAAAACAAUCCUAUUUCACUCUUUGAAAAAUCCAAAGCUUAAAGCAAUCUUGGAGAAAAUUGAUUUGAAAGAUUUAAUCUGAUAUCAUAAUUACCAGGAGCGUAAAAUAGAUUAUUUAAACUUCAAAAGGUUAUUAAAAACAUUUAAUGCAAGAGUCAAAUCAGUUUUGAACCAAUUAAAACAGAUUUACCAAACUUACAAAUUCUGUUAAGGAUUUUCAAAAACAAAUCGGUUGAAAUGUUGAAAUAACCGAUUGAAUUAGUUUGACAGCAAGGUCAACCAAUUUCAAGCUUUGCCAAAACCUGUUUCAAAAACACUAAGUGUAAAAUAACCAAUUGAAACGAUAAAACAACAUGUUAUUUUUCCACUUCUUUGGAAAACACUUUUUUUCAAAAGAAUUUGAUUUAAACCAACUUUGGAUCCUAACUAAGAGUAUAUUACAAAUUCAAACUACCCAGAACCUACACACACAUGCAACAACGAAGCCUUCAACCAAUCUUCAUGGAUUUGGAGACAUCAAAGCCUAUCUUCAACAAUCUCCCCCCAUUUGAUGAAGACAAAUCCCUGGUUUGCUUGUGUUGUUCUAUUUAAAUUUGGAAGCACCUGCAAAACAACAAUUGUGCAUGUACCAGAUAGUAAUAAUAUCUAAGUUUAAACAACACCAUUGAACCAGUUUUCAUCAUAUGAUUUCCAGCAAGAAAACCAUAAAAGCUAGUGUGAAAACCAAUGAAAUAAGUGCAAAAUCACAGCAAAGCAACAACAAGUAUACACUGGAUUUAAACCAGAUAAAUUGCAGUAGUUCAACACAUAAAACCAGAUAAAUCUCCCCCUAUUUUUCUUCUUAAAUAGAGUAAGACAAGGGAUAAAAACAGAAUUUAAGAAACUCAUUUCUUAAGAAGAAAACUAGAAAACAGUGUGUGGCAGCACCAUUGCAGCAACAAACCUAUGAUACCAUAUCAGAAUUGCAGCAGAAAUCUAUGGUGUAUUAGAGUUAUGACAACAUCAAAAUUAACACAGAAUUAAAGUACCAUAGACCCCAGAAAUUACAAAAAGGAGACCACAAUUUCUCCCCCUAUCUUUUCUUCAUCCAGUUCUCUAAAUGGAAAAUAUACAACUUUCUUGCACAGGUCAAAGAGAUCCGAACUCGUGUAACCUUCACAUAAGAAAGCUAUACAGUCAAAGUCAAAGUUUUCUUCAAUCCUCCCACCUUUCAAGAUAACAUUCAAUAUCUCGACCAUUUCCCUUUGAUAUGGAAUAUAUAUUUCAAAUUCUUGAGGAAGACGUCAAAGUAUUGCUUCAUCAUGUUCCAAAAAGUUGUUAACUUCAUCAAUGAAUAUGAUGGCAUGCAGGAGUUUAUGAGCUAGGCUAAAUGUGGCAGAUAUAAGUUUGGCCAUCUCCAGACCACUUGCUCAUCAAGUUUGAUAUCCAAACAUUGAUAAAAGCUACUUCAGACGCCUUAGCAAUAGCUUUGGCAAGCAUGAUCUUCCUCGUGCCAGGUGGUCCAUACAAUAGGACACUCUUUUGUAAAAGCUUACAUCUUGGUCCCCAAUAUCAAAAGUCAUCUACUUUGCUGCAGCAAGUUCAACCUCACUAGAGCACACACCAUAUGCAAUACCAACAAUAAAGCACUUCAACUAAAUAUUAGAAGCCAUCUGCUUCCCAUUCUAAAUACAAAGUAGGGUCAUUGUGCCCACUAAAACUAGGUAACUUUACAAAAUUAAAAGAAUGUUGUGGUUGUUGUUGGAGUUGAUGGUGCCAGUUUGCAAAAUUAUGCACUUGCCAAUCAUUUUUUCGACUCCCAUAGUGCAUGGAAUGUCUAGUUGCUCUUGGCGGCUCCCAACUCCUUUCUUGAGUUUGCUUCACUUGAGCUUCUUCUAGUCUUUGCAAUCUUUUCGCUAGUUGGCUUAUUUCCUCGUCUUUGUGAACCAUUUGUUUCUUGGCAUUCACAAGUUCUCCCAAAAGGUGGGCUUUGUGAUGUGAUUAGGGUUUUGAAAAUUCACCUAAAGACAAAUGAACCAUAAUUUUUUUGGCACAAAGGAAACAAACAAUUAGUGAAAACAAUUUAAACACUCCCCAUGUGUUUCACUAAAGAAAGAGAUGCUCUCAACAAAGGCCUAUCUUGAUGUUGAAUACUCUCAAAUGAAAAAGGUCAAAGCCCUAAUCACUUGAUCUAAAUGGAUCCACAACAAAACUUAAAAGAAAAUUUCAAAAGACAAACAAGAAAAGCUCAAAGCAAGAAAGCUAAACCAAAUUUGAGAAAAAAUGUAUCACAAAACUUUUUAAGAAAAACAAUCAAGAAAAAGGCACACAAAAAGACUCUAAGAUACUUACUAGAACUUUUAACAAUGAUUUUCUUUCUUUCUUUAGAAAUUGUUAAUGGCAAAAGGAUAAAAAUUCCACAAUGUUGAAAUCAAUUUGCUAAUUAAAAUGAACCCACUAUUUUGAAAUGUUGCUAUUUGAAAAGAUUGGAACCAACAAGCUUGCGCAACUUCUCUUACUUUUUUUUUGGAUUAUGGAAAUGAGAUGUCCAUAGUUUUGAUCAUGCAUAAUUUCACAGACCUCCAAUUUUCACCAAAAGUUUGGGAUUCAAAUCAAUUGAUCUCUUGAAAUCUUUUGUUUGGAACUUAAAUCUAUUUAUACUAAAACGAAUUUCCAAUUACUUUUAAACUUUCACAAUUAAAAGCAAAGUAAGUAGAAGCAAAAUAUAAGGAAUCCUAGAACACUAAAGAACAUAUGACUCAAGGCAAAAUAGGCAAUAACUGUUAGAAUUAAAGGCCUUAAACAAGAGAGAUGGUGAAUUAUUUUUAAACAUUUUUCGCAAAGUUUAAAGGUAUGAAGAAAGUCAAAGAAGAAUCACAACCAAAGGAAUGAGAGAACACUAGUUAUAAAACAGUUUUAGUUGAAUACCAUAAAUUCAACCGGUUGUUUCUGCGAUUCAACCGGUUGUUUCUAUCAACAAUGUAUAAAAACAACUAAAAACAUAUAUAAAAGAGAUUAGGGAGAGAAAGAAUCACACAAACAAUUUUAUACUGGUUCACUUUUAUACCAAGAGCUACAUCUAGUUCCUAGAAACCUUUGGGUAUCCACUAAGUAAUAAAAAAUCAUAUUACAAACACACAACCACCAAAGAAGUGAUUUUGAUCCCCUCAAGAACAUACACUUCCUUUGGCACACCACAUAUCAGAACACCCUCUGACUCUGUGAAAACCAGUACUUACAAAAUUACAAAAUGAAGAAAGAAAUAGGAUUGAUCACACCUGGUACAAAUCAAAUCAAAGUACACAACAAGUCCUACUUCACUCUUAGAAAAAUAUCCAAAGCCUUAAGCAAUCUUGGAGAAAACUUGAUUUCACAAACUGAUCUUGUAAGUGUUAAUGAUAGGAGCGUAAAACAGAACAUUUAUACUCCAAGAGACAGAUGAAAACAUUUAUUGUAAAAGGCAAAUCAGUUCCAAAUCAUUUAAAGCAGAUUUAACUAACUUAACAAAAUUAUGUUAAGAAAAUUCAAAAAACAAUCGGUUGUUUUGUCGAAAUAACCGAUUGAAUUGGUUUGACAACAAAGUCAACCAAAUUUAAACCUGUUAAAACCAGUUUCAAAAAUCCUAAGUAUGAAACAACCGAUUGAAAGGAUAAAACAACUGAUUGUUUUUCUGCUUCUUCAUAAAACAAUCUUUUUAAAAGGAUUUGAAUUAAACCAACUUUGGAUUCUAACUAAGAGUGAAUUAACAAAUUCAAACUACCCAUAACUCAUACAACUAAGCUACAAUCAGCCUUCUAGCAAUCCAUGGAGAUUUGGAGUCAUCAAAGCUCUUGUUCAACAAUCUCCCCUUAUAUGAUGAAGACAAAUCCCUGGUUUGCUUUAUUGAGAUCUAUUUGAAUUUGAUAGUACCUGCGAAACAAUCAAAAUAACAAUACCAGAGAGUAAUUUCAUCCACAAUCUCUUACACAAAUGAACCAGUUUUCACUAUGUGAUUUUUCACAAAGAAAAUCAGCAAAAUCAGUGUGAAAAACCAAUGUAAGUGAGUGUGAAAAUCAGAGUUCCUGCACAACUAUAUAUCAACAUUUAAACCAGUUAUAAACAACAAUAAACCAACAACCAAAUCAGCAUAUUCUCCCCCUAUAUGUCUUCACAAAUAGAGUAAGAGACUAUAAAAACAAUUUAACAAUAUAAAAUAUUUUAGCAAAAAAAACCAUACAAAAAUAUAAAAUUGUUCAUCUUAAACCCAACAAAUUUAAAAGACAUAAGAUAUGAGCAGGUCUUCAAUCAUCUUUCCCAUACUAGAGUUCAAAGAGCUGAUUCUGGAUAGCUUCAAUUUGCUCAUUAAGAUCCUGAAAACGAGAUACACAGAAUUCAUGAUGGCUCCUUUGUUCAUUGACAAAGUUGUUCAUUAUACUUAACAUCAACCUCUCAAAGGGUGAUAUGGAUGUGAUGCGUUCACCCAUGUUUCCAGCACUUUGUCCAGCUUCAUAAGCACUAACAUCAUCUCCUCCAGCUUCCAUUUCAGCAUCACCUUCGGUAGCAAUAGCAUGAGGUUGAUAUUCAUCCUCAUCUUCAGCAUGUGCACCACUUGAUGAGCCAGCAUGAUCACCACCUUUACCAACCCACCUUCCAUUAACUUUGGUGAAUCCCAUCCUACUUAAGGAUCCAUUAUUAAAUUCACUUGUAGUCUUCACAAGUUCAUAUUGUUCAUCCUCCAAGUCAACUUCAAAAUAAUACAUAAAUUUAGUAAUCAAAAUAGCAUAAGGAUAAUGAUAAUCACAUAACCUUAUAGACUUCAGCAUGACAAGUUCAGAUUGUUCAUCCUCCAAGUCAACUUCAAAAUAAUACAUAAAUUUAGUAAUCAAAAUAGCAUAAGGAUAAUGAUAAUCACAUAAACUUAUAGACUUCAGCAUGUGCUCCUUAAUGACAUGAAUCCAGUUGAUUUUACAACAUAUUCUAUCUUUUAAGAAGAUCAGAAGGAAGAACAGUUGGUGUUCCGGUUUAUGCUCAUCUCCUUUGGUGAGGUCCAUGAGAUCCUUGGUGAGGUCUUGAAUUGUUCACUGAGAUGACUGCUCACCAUGUGCCUUAUCUUUUGCUUCCUUGUCAUCUUCAUAACUACUUGGUUUAUAUCACAAAGUGAUGGGAAAUGCAUAAUGAAAUACAUUCAUACCUUUGCACAUAGACUACCUCAACAAGUUUAACCAAGAGAAACAUGUUUAAAUGUUUAUUUGGUCAUAUGAGGCACAUGCAUAGGAUGAGAAUAUACAACUUACUUUACAUGGCUCAUGAUUUUUUUACUUGUUAAGAAUCUGAGUAAGAUGCAUACUUCUCAACCAUAAGAACAUGCAUCACUUUGAUGAGUUUUCACCAGAGCACUUCUACUUUAACCCAAAUUUUUCUUGAUUCCCAAGAGUACAUUUGUUGUUGUCCCCAUAUUUCUCAUGACCUUCUUGCUUAAGGAGUAGAUUUGACAGGCUUGCAUUUAUCCUUUGUUAUGUGCUUCAGAACAGCCACAGUUAAGGUAUCAUAAGUGUUAGUUUUCUGUCAAAAAAACCCUGAAAGAACCAAGAUCAAGGAGCAAAAUUUGGGUCCAUGAGUGUUAGAAGGAACAUUAGGAACCUUAGAAUUCUUAGGAAUCCACUUUAAAAUAUCCCUGGGAACAUUUUUUUUUUUAACUUUGCAGAAUUUAACAUAGUGGCCCUUCUUGAUACAACAAAAGCAUGAAACAACCGGCUGUUUCGACUUUUCAAUCAUUUAUUUUUAAAAGAAACUUGUAAAUGGCUUUGUAACUGUUCUUUUCUUCUUGUGUGGACUAAAACCCAAACCAACUUUACCAAAGACACAUUUUUUAGAAGAAAGAACAAUUUCAAAGUUAGAUUUUUCUUUAGAAAGCUUGUCCACAAUUUUCACAAGAUAAUAAACCUUCUUUUCAAGAGAUUCACAAUUUUCACAAACAUUUGAGUCACACUUGCAAGAAGAGUUCUUGUAAAUGAGAUCCAGAUUUUCAAAAUCACUUUUCAAAUUAUCCAGCUCUUCUUCCAAUACCUUGACUCUAUUUUCCAGCCAAUUAUUCAAGCCUUUCAAAUGGUUAUUUGAAAGGGCCAUCCUAUUAGCUUCUUCAUGAGUUUCUUUAAAAGCAUCAAGAAGUUGGCUGUAGUUUUCAAAAUUAAUUAAAGGGCUGGAACUUACACUGCUUACAUCAGUUUCUUCUUUUGCCAUCAAGUAAAGAUUUGCUUCUUUAUCUAUUGAAGAUGAGUUAGAGGAAGAAACUUCAUUAUCUUGUCAAGCAAUGUAGGCUUUCUUGGCUUUGCCUUUCUUUUCUCCUUUCUUGCUUGAUCCUCUUUCUUUAUUCUCAUUGUUUGGGCAAUCAACUUUAAUAUGUCCUUAUUCACCACAACCAAUGCAGGAAUAUUUGUUAGAGUUAAAAUCAUUGUGUUUUUUGCUACUAUAUACCUAUUGAAAGAUUGAUUUUUGUUGUUGUUUUUCUUCAGGAAUUUUCUUAGUGUCCUGGUCAGCAAGCUUAGUGUUUCUCCAUCACUAUCAUCACUUGAGUAUUGACAGUAAUGUCCAACAGCCUUCAGGGUAAUGUUCCUCUCAUGCUUAUCCUCAUUUUCUUGACAUUCAACUUGUUCAUAUCUAAUUCAUGUUCUUUGAGCUUUCCAAACAGUGAAGUUGUGGUCAUAAAUGUUAAAUCCUUAGACUCAGAGAUAGCUGUGACCUUGGGCUGCCAAGAUCUGUCUAGGAACUUGAGGAUUUUGAUGUUGAGUUUCACUUUUUCAAACAUCUUCCCAAGACUCAUGAGGUGGUUGACAAUAUGGGUAAACCUCUUUUAUACUUCAACAAUUGUCUCCCCUUUCUGCAUCCUAAACAUCUCAUAUUCUUGAGUGACAACAUGCUUCCUUGUUCUCUUCACGUCAUUUGUUCUUUCAUUAGUGACUUCUAGAGUAUCCCACAUUUUCUUUGCUGAUUCACAUUGUGACACCCUGAAAAACUCAUCAGAACUUAAGGCAAAUGUAAUAAUAUUUUUUGCAAUACAAUCAUAUUGAGCCUUUUUGCUUUCAUGCUCAGUCCAUUAGGACCAAGGUUUAUUAGAAAUCACUUUAUCAUUUUCAAGCAUAGGAACAAAAAGACCAUUUUUAAUUGCAUUCCAAAUUCCUUUAUCAAUUGAUUCUACAAAGAUCUUCAUCCUUACCUUCCAGAACUGGUAAUUUACACCACAAAACAAAGGUGAUCUAUUAAUAGAUGCACCCUCCCCAAAGGGUAGUUCAUCAGCCAUGAAAAAAGAUUUUUGGAUCAAAACUUGAAUGACUUUAAAGAACCUAACUCUUGAUGCCAAUUGUUAUAAUUAUAUUCCUUAAAUAAGAGGGUGUUAGAAUUAAUGGCUUAAACAAUAGGGGGUGAAUUGUUUAUCAAAAUAUUUUUGCAAAUAUUGAAUAAGAAUGAAGCUUUAUCACAAUUCAAAGAUUAAGCAAUCAAGGAAAGCAAUCAAACAAUGUAAAAGAAACUGUUUGCAGAGAUUCAAUCGGUUAAAACUUCGUUUUAACCGGUUGUUUAUGGCAGCAACAAAAGCAGAAUUAAAACAAACAGUUUAUAAGGAGUGAGAGAGAGAGAGAGAGAUUUACUUAGCCAAUUUUAUACUGGUUCACUCAACCUUGAGCUACAUCUAGUUCCCAAAACAACCUCUGGGUUCCACUAGUAACCAAUCACAAAUUACAAUCACAACUGCAAAGAGGUGAUCUUGAAACCACAAGAACCACUCACCCUCUUUGCUACACACACCUUUAGUCAGAACACCCUCUGACUUUAUAGGAUUUCCACACACUUACAAGUUUACAAAAGAACAAAUACAAGAAUCAUGAAAAGAACAGAUUACACCUGAGUUUACAGGAAUCAGAAAGCUCAUAUGAUCAGACUUUGAACCAGUGCACAACUAUUCAACAAUCUUGCAAACUUUUGAAAAACUUCUUUCAAAAUCAAUCUCAGCCUCACUGUAUUUGAUAUCUCACUUGUGUAUUUUGUUUUAAAAGAAAAGCCAUAUUUAUAGCCCUCAAAACUAGUUGUUCUAGGCAACAUUUAUGAGCCAAAACAAUUCUGAUUCACUUCCAAAACAGAUUAACAGAUUUUCAAAAAGCUGUUAUGAAAUGUCACAAUCAACCGGUUGAAAAGUCGUUUUAACCGAUAAAAUUGGUUAGACAAUUAUUUAACCAAGUAAAAAAAAAAGUUUUAAAACCUUCAAACAAGCUAAGUGACAAACAACCGAUUAUUUCGAGGUUUCAACCAGUUGUUUUUUUCUUUGCUUAGAAAGACACUUUUCUCUUUUAAAACAUAUUGAGCAAGCUUGUGCAAGGGACAAGAAAUGAUCUUUACAAGGAUUCUAAACAACCUAGACUAAGCCCAAACCAACAACAGCACAACUUCAACAUUCAUCAUAGAUUUGAAACAUCAAAUCUCCCAUGCUCUACAGAGAGGGGGAGGGGGGUGUGAAUUGUUUAUAAAAGAUUUCCGCAAAUAUUGAAGGUAUAGAGAAAGCCAAUGAAGAAUCAAAGAGAAAGAAACCCCGUUAGCCAAGAAACAAAUUUGUUUUAUUAUGUUUCCAGAAAAUCAACUCGUUGUUUAUGAGAUUCAACCAGUUGUUUUUAUCAACAAUUAAUAAAAACAAACCAAAAUAGAUUUAAAUGAGAUUAAGGAUAGAAAGAAUCACACAACAGAUUUAUAUUGGUUCACUCUUAUUUAAGAGCUACAUCCAAUCCCCAGAAACCACUGAGUAUUCCACUAAGAAAUCAAAUAACCUUGAUUAAAAACCACACACCAAAGAGGUGAUCUUGAACCCUUAAAGAACACACACCUCCUUUGCAAAAAACACACCACAGAACACCCUCUGGAUCUGCGCAGAACAUGUUUACACAGAAUUACAGUAUUCAAGAAAGAAAAGGAAUUAUCACACUUGAUACAAAUUGAAUUCAAAAGUUACAAAGCAAUUAUAUUCCACUCUUUGAAAAAUCCAAAGCUUGAAGCAAUCUUGGAGAAAACUGAUUUGAAAGAUUUAAUCUGAUAUCAUAAUUACCAGGAGCGUAAAAUAGAUUAUUUAAACUCCAAAAGGUUGUUAAAAACAUUUAAUGAAAGAGCCAAAUCAGUUCUGAAUAAAUUAAAACAGAUUUACCAAACUUAACAAAUUUUGUUAAGGAUUUUCAAAAAACAAUCUGUUGAAAUGUCGAAAUAACCGAUUGAAUUAGUUUGACAACAAGGUCAACCAAUUUCAAACUUUGUCAAAACCUGUUUCAAAAACACUAAGUGUAAAACAACCGAUUGAAAUGAUAAAACAACAAGUUGUUUUUCCACUUAUUUGGAAAACACUAUUUCAAAAGAAUUUGAUUUUAACCAACUUUGGAUCCUAACUAAGAGUGCAUUACAAAUUCAAACUACCCAGAACGUACACACACAAGCAACAACAAAUCCUUCAACCAAUCUUCAUGGAUUUGGAGACAUCAAAGCCUAUCUUCAACACUAAUUAAUUUAUUCUCAACAGCUUUUAGUGAUAUUUAAUUUGUGUAUAUAUUAUAACCAAUGUGAAUAUUCCUUGUAUUUAAUUAUUUUUUUCGAGUUGUCUACCAGCACCUGGGUCGAGCUCAUGGUCCACCCUUUAGGCCCAUACUGGCCUAAAAACCAAGCUAACCUAAACGCUUGAACCAAGUCGAGCUCCUGGCCAAUACACAAGCCCCCCAGGCUCGAGCUGAGCUUGGCUAGGCGAAGAGUCUUUCCAGCGUUGGCAACUAACGUGACGUCUUCGCAGAGGAUAGGUGAGGCGCAGUUACCGAAGCAUCUCUUGAUGAGACAUCCUACCAUACUAAAUCUGAGACAUCCACGUGGGAUGCGAAUCAACGGCUAGGAAGCCUUAUCGCUGCAUCUCCUUCAAACAAUUAAAACCCAUUUCUUCCUCACUUACCCGUUAUGCAAUCUCUCUUCUCUCUAGAACGCUUGUGCCCUAAAAAACCUCUCUUACACCAAAAACUUCUUUCGCACUUCUUCUUCUCCAUCCUCAGACCAGGUAUUUUCCUCCUCCAAUCUCUAUUGCCAAGUAUUUAUUCAUCUUGCGGAUUAUAUUGCCUGAACUAUGAUUUCUUGUCAAUUCGUCUUCUCUACUUGGCCUGAAUUGUGCUUGUACCUUGUUUGGUGUUUACGCUUUUGUUCUAGCUAUUUAUACAAUGGAUUACAAUUCAAUGUACCCCUGGGCCAAGAAAGAGCUUCUAAAAGAGGUUUCUUAUUACACCACCCAUUUACGUCUUAGAGAUUUAAGAGAAAACAGAUGUAGCAUGAGUAAAAGACAGGAGGGUAAAGUAAAAACCAUAUUGUAGGGAGGGUGAGCCCAUUUGUUGUGACGAGUCAUCGGACCCUGGUGGUCCAUUUUGUUUCUUUUUAUGUCACGUUUUUCAAAAAGGUUCUCUUGCGUCUCCCUUUUUCCAUUUUUGAAAAAGAGCUAUUAACCGAGCUCAAUGUUGUCCCUACUCAGCUACACCCUAAUAGUUGGGCAUUUAUUUGUGCUUUUAUCAUUUUGUGCUCACAACUCGACAUCUUGCCGUCUGUUGAAGUUUUUCUCUAUUUCUUUGAGGCUAAACAUACGAGCAAUAAGUUGCAGGUAUCUUUGAAUGGUGCCCCUGAAAGAGCCUUGCUGAUUGAUGACUUUUUACGGCAAGUGCACCACGUUUGUCAGAAGUAAUAAUUGUCCCUAAGGACAGAUAUCGAUCCCACAAGGAACAGUGAAUUAUCGAGUACAAUAAUCACUAAAUAUAAAAACUGAACAAUAAAAAGAGUUUUGAAUUAAUUGUGUUGGGCACUGAUCAAUAAGAAAACAAACAAAAAAUUGGUUGCUUCAAUUUGGAAAAAUAGGGAUUAGGUUUCAUCUCUCUCACUCUCAUGUAUUUUGAUUAGCAUGUCAAUAUUAAGUUCUUUGAUUGAAAUUGAUGCCCGUAGAAAAUUCAUUUAUAUUCAUCUUUCGCAUAUAAAAUUCUUAAGAAUGUUUCCUAAAUAUUUCUCUCUCGCAUACUUAUAAAAACAACUUAGAAAUCACAAUCAGAUGUUAAUGGCAAUUAGCAUUUCAAGUCUAUCUUUAGCACUCAAAUAUGCUAAGUAUUGAUGUUUAGGUCUGAACCCUAAAAAUAACUCUCGGCCAGAUUUAAGAUUCUCAAUUUGUCACGGAAAGUUAAAAGUAAAACAACAAUACCAAUAAUCAAUCAAGAACUGAAUAUUAAUAUAUAAAAUAUCACCUCAAUACAUAAGAGUUUGAGCAGAUUACUCCCAAUCCCAAAGGGUAGAAUUAGCCACGCAUACUUCUAGCAUCUUCCAUUCUCCCAAUUGGGUUGCAAUUCACUCUAUGGUGUUCUCCUCUCAAUCUCGCACCCUAAGGUUUAGCCUCUAGCCCCCUAUUUAACCUAAUUUUUACUUCCUGUUUCACGCUAAUGGGUAAUUAAUAAAACAUAAAAAAGGCCCAAUCUUUCUCUACAUUUUUUUUCCAUUCUAGGACCUUCCAGCUUUCUCUUUUUAGCUCAAAUCAUUCCUCUUUAAUCCAAAUCUCCAAUCUUCCCUAGAAAUAUGCAAUUAAUACCAAAUUUGGGAAUAAUAUCUUUAUAAUAUCUUCGAAUUAUCAAUAUUUUCUAUCCUUUAAAUAUUUAUCUGAAAAAUCAUUUUCAAAUACUUUCCAAAUACUAUAAAAUCUAAACAUUGACGCCUAAUCACAUUUAACCUGGAUAUGUUUGCAUUGAACAUGUUUCGAAAAACUCUUUUAUAUAUAGAAAAUGUUCAUGCUCUAUUUUUUGAAGGUUUCCAAUAAAAUAUUGUUUAUGCAAAAUCUUUCUAAUACAAUCUUAAAUUUAAUUCUAAUUUCAUAGUUGUAUUCUAAAAUAUUUAUGAUCAACAUGGAAAGUAUAUUUCAUUUACAAAACAUUAAACACAAUGUUUUUGAGAUUUUCAUAUUUAUAUGUGUUACGUUCUCAAAUACAAAAAUUUUCAAAAAUAUUUAAUCAUUAAUCUUAUUUGAAAAAAAAUUUCUAUGAUUCAAAAAUAUCAACUAAGAUUUGAAAACAUAAGAUCAGUGCCAUGAAAUAUUCUAAAAAUGGAAAGAUUAAGUAUGGAACAUACUUGUAUUGUCUGAUAUGUGUAAUCUUUAGUAAUCGUCUAAUGACUUAUAAGCAUGUUCUUUGAUAUCAUCUAUCUUGUGAUAUCCAAAGGUAUCAUUUGAUAAGAGCGUCUGAUGAGUCCUCGUGAUUGUUUGAUAAGAUUAUCUUAACUAUUUCGUCUAAUCCAUUCCAAAGAGAUUGUCUGACGCAAUUCCUCAAAUCAUUUGAUGUGUUUCUUGAGGUCGUUUAAUAUAUUCCACUAGGAUCAUCUAACGUGAGCUUCUUAUGUAUAUCAUUUUGUGCAGUACCUAUGAGAUCAUUUAAUGCAUCUUUUCUCAUUCAAACUAUUUGUUUAGACAUCGUUUCUUCUUUAGGUGUUAUCUUUAUAAGCUCUAAGAUAUUUGUCCAACAUUGAGACCAAUAUUAGAUCGUUUGAUGGUCUUCAUAGUGAGCAUGUGCCAUUGGAUCGUCUGAUGUGACUCUUGCGCAAUUUCUAUUAAAAUCAUCUGAUUGAGGCUUUCCACUAUUGACCUGUUUGAUGAGUCUUGAUAGACCAUUUGAUUUAUCUCAUUUAACAAUUUCGUCUAACACUUGCUACAAAACUUGAUCGUCUGAUAAGCUUAAGCAACUUAUAAUCGUCUUAUGGAUAUUCAACUAAAUUUGCACACUUAAUAGCUUCGUUAGACAUCUUAACACACUUUAUAUUGUUUGUUAUCAUCAAAACAUAUGAACUCUAGUAUCAUGAGAUCGUUUGGUCGAUGAUAGACCAUCUAGUUUCUUACUACGUAAUCUCUUAUUUAGGUUCAAAAUGGUUGUUUUAUAUUCUUGGAAACAGUGUGUGAUAAGUAAAUUGAAGUUUACUAAAGUAACUAAGGAAAAUAAAUACAUUUUCAACGUCAAUUUUCUUUGGAUAAUUUAAAUAUUUAUUGAAAAAAUAUAAAAAUAGAGUAAAAUUAACUUCAAAUUUUUUUAAAAAAUAGAAGAAAAUUAAAAAUACUAAAAAAAUAAUAAAAGAGAAACGUGAGAAGAAAAUAUUUUUGUGAUAAAAAAUAUGUAUUAUUUAAUUUGAUAAAAAAAUCUAAAACUUUUAAAAAAUAUAUAUAAUUUUGUUUCCUUUAAAUAAAUUGAAAAGUACUAAAAAAAAGUAUAUGUAUAGUAUAUGAAAUGUUUUAAACGUAAAUGUAAGCUAAAAAAUCAAUGUCAGAUUAACAUUUUAAUAUAUUUAUUUCAGAAUUAGGAUGAACUUACAAUCAAACUUGACUAUAACUCAGAGUAGGGGUGACAAUGCGGGUUGGUCCGCCCCGCAUAGACCCGUCUCGCACUUGGCCUGCAAAAAGCAGGUCGGGUUGUUUUUUCUAACCCGCAUAAGAAAUAUUUAUUAAAAAAAUAAUUUUUUAAAUAAUUUUUUGAAUUUUUUUUAUUUAGAUGGAUUAGAUAAAUGGUCUCAUAAUAUUAUUUUCAUGAAUCAUGCGUAAUAAGAUCUUAUUAAAAAUUGUGGAAUGUAAAAUAUGAGGCUACAUGAAGAAAAUAUGGGAGUGUAGAAAAAAAUAUAUACAUUUUAAAGUUAUGUGAGUUAUGCGGACCAACCCACCCCGCCCGUACUUGGCUCGCACGGACUUCGAGUUAUGAGGGACGGGCCUAAGCGGGCCAGCGGAUUGAAAUUGAAAUAAGUAACCCGCUCCGCAUUUUUUUCAGCGGGUCACGAGCCGGCCUGCACGACCCGCUCCACUUUGUCACCCCUAACUUAGAGAGAUGCCCAAAUUUUAAAAAAAUAAUAAUAAUCAAAUAAUUGAUAUAUAAUUGAAUUAAAUUUAGUUAGCAGGGAAAUAAUCAUGAGCGUUGCUAGGCACAUCUAAAUGAGACAGAAAUUAUUCUAGCACGAGAUUUUGUGAGAGUCAUUGAUGAGGGAAAGGAAGAAAGUUAGAAGAAAAGAAAUUGAAAGGUUUGGAUAAGGAUCUUUAUUAUGCAAUCUUUGUACCACCAAACAUCAUCAUUUUUCUUACAUUCAACGUUCUAUUCAAAAAUUUAUAACCACAAAAUAAACAUCUCAUACACACUCUAAUUUAAGACAUUCAUCUAACACCUAAAUGCAUUAAAGUGUAUCUAUACUGAAUUCAUUUCGGCCAGAAUCCUCUUAUCUUAUCAACACAUUUUGAUCCUCUUAAAGGUUUCUUCAUUAAUACAAAUCUUUAGUCAAUUUUACUUCACUGCUUCUACUUCCACUUUAGAUUCAUUUUAAAAGUUCAUAUUUUAAAGAAAAUAAAUAUAAAUUUAAGUAUACAUAAAUAAAUAUUAACAAAAAUCAAGAUUAAAAAUAAUUUAAAUACAACUUCCUUUUUUAAUUUAAAAAAACAUCUUUUUAAAAGAUAAAACUAAUCCAAACUACUAUUUCAAUAGAACAUUAACUAUUCAUAUCCUUUAAAUAACAUUCUAAAAAUUGGAAUUUAUUUUCGCUUACCCUUAUAAGCAAAGUUAAUAAUAAUAACCAAUUCUUUUAAGAAAUAUUAUUAAUAUUAUUUAAUUCUACUAAUCAUAUUUAAAAAGUAUUCUUGUCAUAUGGUAUCAAUUAUUUGAAACUUGAUAUUAACAAUAAAAAAUCAUUACUAAUUUUUUUUUAUCAGCAAUAAAUAAAUAAAAUUACAAGAGAUACUUAAGGGGUAUCCCAACCCGUAUACAACAGCCACAUAGUUACUCCUCCGAACGGGAAGGAUAACCAAAGUGUGACUUAUCCUGCAAAUAGCUAUAUCCCCAGCCAACUCACAAAAUUGCACCAAAAUGACAGUAACCUGCAGAAAACCAACAGCUUCCCAAACCCCAACACCAUUCCAAAAGAUAUAGCAUAGCAUCUCCUAAUACUCUCCCUGCACCCUGCAAUCCAGCCCUUUACACCAAAGUAGAUUUCCCGUUCUUCCGUCUACAUACCCCGCUCCAACAGUCUCUACUUCCUGCUUUCCUUUUAAUACCAAAGCACCACUAGAAAUGUGCAUCCAAGCUCACUCUUUACUUGCUUAACAGCUAUAGUGACAUUAGAAUAAGUGAAGAAGCACAAGCACAUCAACCUUUUUCCUUCACCAACCGUCUCCUUCGCCUAUGUAUUGACCAACCAGCAACCUCCCAAACCUGCCAGCCGCUACAAAUCAGCCACAAAUUUACGAAACACCAUCUUACCACCUUGCUUUCUCUGCAUAGUAACAUCACACCCCUAAGCCAAACUGAGUCAGACCCCCUGAAGAGCGUGACUCAAUUCCAUCCUCACUGAAUCAGUUGCACCCGUGGUAUCACUUCUAACAGCCACCCCCUCCUUUGGUACUGGUACAUCACACCCAUACCAGUGUGCUCCCUUUUUAACAUAUAUGCUCUCCUUAAUCAAUCUGCUUCAGAUUCCUGCAAUUAACAUUAACAGAGACCAACCCCGAAACAGGUAGCAGCAACCCAGUUCCUUGCCUGGAGAAAACUAUGUAAUCCAUAAGGGACUCAAUCCAUCACUAUAACAGAUUCCUACCUACCAAAGACUUCACAUGAGGCCAACCAAAGAUUAAAACCAUCUUCUUCAUAACCAGCACAGACACAUGUAAGCCAGUAAACUUUAGCAGCUUCUGAUGUAGAUAUUUGGGUUAAGAACCCAAUCUACAAAGGAAUAAGAGAACGAGCGAGCUUUAUGCUUCAUCCACAACCAAGACUUCAGUUGAGCCCUCUGAAAAACCUCCUCAGCAUCUACUACCCCUUGCUGGAAGGUAAUCAUAUUCCUCUGGUCCCAUAAACUUCUAAUGACAUUUGCCCAUACCCCUUUCCAGAUCCUAUUCUGCUUAUUACUAACUUGAAACAAGUGAAAACUUUGGAAAUGCAGCUUCAGAUCAUGUUGCUGUACGAAUGAAAUAUCUACCCACUGAAAGCAUAGAGACCAAACCUUCUGGGCAUAUUUACACUCCAUGAAAAGGUGUUGACAAGUCUCCUCCUGUAACUGGCACAAGGGACACACCAUUGAGUUCACCACUACCCCUCUCCAGCUCAAACUCACUCUUGUAGGAAGUCUUCCCAUCAGUACCCUCCAGGCUGUCACUAUCACAUUUGGAAAAGCCUUUACCCUCCACAAGAGCUUAUACACUUCUCCCUGGUUCCCUCUACCAUGCUUAGCUAGACACUCGUAGGCAGAGCUCACUGAAAACAACCCCGGUACCUCCUUCCCCCAUACUUGGGUGUCCUGGACAUUUUUUCUCAAACUGACCCCUGAUAGAAGCGUAUUAAGGUCCCUCUCCAGAGAAGAUUCCCAUUCAAAUCUACCUCUCCUCCACCUCAAGUCCCACCUCCACUCCGUGCCAACCCAUUCACCCAUCUCACCCACUGUUUUACCUUGGUUUAAAGAUAAAGAAUAUAGGCGUGGGAACAAAGAUUUGAGAUCCACACUUCCGAUCCAUACUUCCUCCCAGAACUUUGCUUUGUCACCACAACCUAUUUCCCAACCUAACUCUUCCUGAAAACCACCCUUUACCUCAUCCCUCCUUACACAUCUUAGAGAGGUCUCUCCACCACCAAGAUUGAGAUUUGACAGGUGUAUGACUGCUUUCUACUCCCAAAUCGUAUUUGGAGUCCAACAACUUCUUCCAUCUUCCAUUCUCUUCCGAAAGACACCGCCAUCUCCAUUUCGCUAGGAGAGCUUUAUUAAACAGGUGUAUAUCCCUACACCCCAACCCUCCCUCCUCUUUUGGUCUGCAUACAUCUUUCCAGCUAACCCAAGCAAUUGGCUUGGUUAGUUUCCCCCAACCCCACAAGAAUCUUGUUUGAAUACUGAUAAUCCUUUUACACACCGAGGCCGGUACUCUAAACAGGGAGAGAUAAAACAAAGGAAUAGCAGUUAGAACAGAAUUAAUUAAGCAGAUCCUCCCUGCCAUGGAUAGAAACCUCCCCUUCCAAACACUGAGUUUUGCUUUCAACUUGGUUAUAACUGGAUCCCAGAAUUGCUUCUUUCUUGGAUUCCCUCCAACCUCCAGUCCUAGAUACUUGAAAGGAACCUCCAUCUGAGUACAGUUCAACGUCUUAGUGAAACACCCUAUAGUACUGCUUUGUACAUUAAUUCCUGCUAACCUUGAUUUAUGGAAGUUGAUCUUCAAUCCUGAGGCUAACUCAAAGCCUCUCAGAAUGGCCUUCAAGGUUAACACAUUCCCAAAGGUAUCCUCACAGAGAAAAAGAGUGUCGUCCGCAAACUGUAGAAUACACAUCUCCACCUCAUGCCUUCCUAUCUUAAGGCCCGUCAGCAUAUUAACCUUCAAAGCUUGUCUUAUUAUCCCAGCAAGUCCUUCAGCAACCACAAUGAACAAAAAAGGUGCUAGGGGGUCACCUUGACGCAACCCUCUAGAAGGCUUAAACUCCUCCGUAGGACUCCCAUUAACUAAAACUGACACAGUAGCUGAUUCCAGGCAACCUCUGAUCCACAAGAUCCACACAGUGUGGAAACCCAAUUUGUGUAGCAUAUCAUAAAGGAAAUCCCAUCGAACCGAGUCGUAGGCCUUCUCAAAGUCCACUUUUAGGCAGAUACCACUUCUCCCCUUUUUCCUGAGAUCCUCCACUACUUCAUUUGCCAUAAGGACGCUAUCCAAGAUUCCUCUACCCUUUAGGAAAGCUAAUUGGCUUUCAUCUAUGAUUGCAGGCAAUACCUUCUUCAAUCUCCCAGCCAACACCUUUGUAAUGAUUUUAUAAAUGACACCAACCAAAGAAAUGGGUCUAUACUGCUCCAGCUUAGAGGGGUCCCUCACCUUCGGGAUAAGCGCAAUAAAUGAAGCAUUACAACCCUUCGGGAUGUUUCCAGUCGCAUGAAACAAAGCCAUUGCUUCCAUUAACUCUUCUUUAACAAAGUCCCAGCUUUUCCGGAUAAAAUUGAAAUUGAACCCAUCUGGACCAGGGCUCUUAGACCCUUCACACUGCCACACUGCAUCUUUAACCUCUUUUUCUGUGAAACCAACCACAAGCCCCUCAUUAUCUCUCAAGGUUAGAGUCUUAAACUCCACCUCAUCCAACCUCACCCCUAGAUCUUUCGUUGCAUUGAACCUAGCUUCAAACAGCUUUUUCGCCUCCAACCGGACAGUACCUGGUUCCUCACUCUGUCCCCCACCUGAACACCCUUCACUUCAUUCCUGAGUCUUUUCCACCUCAGAGAUGAGUGAAAGAACCUAGUACAAGAAUCACCACUCUUGAACCAACUUGCUCUAGCCUUUUGGCACAUAAGAGAUUCAAGUUUUUUGUUAUUUUCUACCAAUCGACUUGUCAACGCCAUUCUGUUAAGCCUUUCACUUUCCUCCAGAUCCCCGGUACAAUCUCUGUUGUCUAGCUCCUCCAGCUCCUGUAGAAUCCUCCUCUUAGCAGUAUGAAGGUUACCGAACACCUCUCUGUUCCACACUUUCAGAUCUGACUUGAGGAGUUUCAUUUUCUCCUUAAAUUUAACUAUUUCGUUCCCCUAGACUGAGAAGGAUUUCCAUUUAUCCUUAACCAUGAUGUUAAACCCCCUCUCCAGAAACCAAGCGUCAAUCGAUCUAAAGGGUUUAGGACCCCAAUCCUUCUCCACAGAUUUUAUCACCAAAGCACAAUGAUCAGAUACUUCCCUUCGAAGAACAUACUUAAUAGAAUUUCUAUUAUAUACUUAAAAUGAUAUCACUAAAUAUAGUGCGAGUAAUAAAAUUUUGUUGAUUUUUUAUUCAAACCAAUGUUUUCUUUCGGAUUACGUGAUAAAAAAAAUGAGAGUGAAAAAUAUAAUACGAAAAAAAUAAAAUAAAAACUCUCCGGAUUAAGUGAAAAAGAAGUGAAAAUAAAAAUAAUAAAAUUAACAUACUUCAGUUAAAAAAUAUAUUUUUUUUAUUAUUAUAAUUUAUAAUCAAUUAUAAAAUAUUUAUUAUUAAUUAUGAUGACACAUAAUUAAUUAUAUAAAAUUAUUUAUUAUUUUAUACGUAAUUGAUUACGUACAUUUUGUUUGAAAACAUUCUCUCCGUUAUCACCUCCAUGCAAAUUUUUCCACAUACCCUGAAACAAACAAUUUUCUUGAAGCAAACACGGCUCUCUUAUCUCUAUUUCAUAAUGUUUCUAGCAAUCCUUUUUGUUCUAGGAGAACCCAAAUGGUUCAUAUAUCAUCUCUACCAUCUAAGAAAAUGAUAAUAAGAAAACCUUGAUUUAUGUAAGGAGGGAUUCCAAGGAAAUUUAAUUAGUAAGUAAAAAAAUUAAAAUUCAAAGCUAAAUGCUAACUUUAAUUAUUAUUUUUUAAAUUAUACUUGAAGGAGUGGGUCCAAAACAUACUAACUACUAAAAGUAAGUAGGGUUUACUAAACAUAACUAUUUAAUAAAAUUUGAAGAAACAUAAUUAAAUAAAAACAUGCUAUAAUAAUUGUUUUUUAUAAAGUCAAAUUUCUUGUGGACUCCUUUUCAACUGACAGUCUUCGGUUUCUCGGUUCUUCAACUUUUUAUUAUAGUUUGUGCGUAGGUAAGGUCUACAAUGCUCAAGUUUGUCUCAGUUCAAUUUGUAAGCACGGGAUUAUAUCUCAUGUAUCUUUUGACUUUAGGGUGUUUUUGUAUUUAUACAGUUGUUUUGAGUCCUUGAGUGUACGGAUAGGUAGGUUAGGUCCAAAAGACUCAAUCAUAUUUUAACCAUGUUUUGUGAAUAAUUUGAUAUAUUAGUGGCUAAUGACGUGUGUAGAUUUUUUAUGAGGUCUCGUAUGAAAAGUGUCGAAUUGUCGAGGUGCCGAUUGUUGGAUAUGAAGCCAGACCAAUUGGGUUGGGCUGACUAGACACAUGUUUAGUGAGUGGGCUUAAUUAUUAUGUCCCUUUAUUAUCUCUAUUUAUCUCUAUUUAAAGAGAUCAUUGUACUUGUAAUUGGUGUGCAACAGGAUAUAAUGUAAACCUAAUAGUUGCCCGGGUGGAUGUAGGUUGCAGUUGGCGACCGAACCACGUUAAAUCUUAUGUCGUUUAUUUUUCUGCAGUUGAUUCGUGAUUAUGUGUUUUGUUUCCGCGUGCGUUUUUCUCAUCACCGAUAUGAUGUCGACGUGAUGUUGACUAUCCGGAUACUCAAUAUUUCGAUAGUGCAUUCAAGUUCAAAUGAAAUGGAGAGUCUAAUUUAUGAGGGGUCAAAAAAAAAAUUUUCUUAAUAUUAACCGUAGCAUGAUUUACACGUAAAGUAUUGGGUGACAAUGUUAUCUAUCUGCCUCUAUGUAUAAUAAUGUUGGUGUUUUAUAUUUUUUGUGGCCAUAUAUUUUAAAAUACUUAUUUUGAUCUUUAUAAUUUUUAAAAUUCAUUUAAUAUAGACCUCAAUACCGUCACAUGUCAAUUUCUCUUCAAGAUUUUUUUUCUGUCUUUCGUUGUCUUCGCCAUAUCUUUCAUACGGGUCUUAACACACAUGGAGGGAACAAGAUAUAAUAGUUGGGGCUAAUAUUCAAUGCAUAUAUAAGUACUAAGAUUUAGGUAAAAUAUUUAUUUUUUAUUGAAUGAUCAAAUAUCAUACAAGAAUACAAACAAUAUAUUUUCAGGAAAGAUAUUACAUUUUUUAAGACAUAUAAAAUUAUAAGUUAUAAUCAUCAACCUCACAUGUCAUUAUUACAACAUUCGUUAAUUUAUAAUAAAAAAUUGCAUAUUUAUUAACUAUAUUUUUACGUAAUUUAUUAAAAUUAGUUGUGUAACCCAUUCCAUUAUCUUUUAGGACAAUGACACUUGACAAUCAUUAAAAAAUAAUUUAAUUUUAUAUAGUCAAUAAAUAGAAGAAGAAAAUGUUGCCUAUUGACAAAGACUGCAGCUUUCAGAGAAAAUUGUGACAAAUGUUCUAUAUCUAUUUUAUUUUUCCAAAACUUAUAUAGUACUGGGUCUUGACUCAUGUAGUUGAGAUAAAAAAAAUUUAUAAAACCAUAUAAUGACCAAAGAAAAAAAUAGUUAAAUAAUAUAGAAGAAAAUAGCGAUACGGAUAGAAAUUAUUUAUAACUAUAUAAUGAGAAUUCCUAUAUUUAGUAUAUACAGUUUUUUUUCAAAAUUGUAUAACUAUUUCUAUAUAUAAGUUACUUAACUUUAAUUUUCAUAUAAUUGUUCCAUUUAAUCUUUAUUUUUUUUUAAUUUCUCUUACAUGCAGAGAAAAUAAUUAAGAUAUAUUUUAAUUUUUUUAUAACAAACUCUGUAACAAUAUAUAAUAGAUUUUAAAAUAGAAAUAAGAUUUUAUUACUAACCGUGACUAAGUUUUUAGAGACUUGAUCAGCAAUUAGGAUUUUGGAUCUAUUUAAGUUCUUCUAAUCAAUUUUUUUUUACCCAUAGAUUUUGGAGUAUCAAAAUUACUAAAUAUCUAUUUUUACAUAGUAGUUUGAGAAUUUAUCUUGGACCAUGAUUUUGGAACUUGCAUUUGGGUCUAACUUAGAUUAGGUCAAAUAAGAGUUUAUGUUAUUAGUAAUGCUUAUGGGUUUUACUGGAAAGUAUUUUGUUAACCAUAUUCAUUACAUGGUUAACCACAUUCUAAAACUAUGUUAAUCAUUGGUUAUUUGUUUUCUCAUAAUGUGUUUGGUUCUAUUGAUCACAUGUGAAGGAGGACUAGCGGACGGGUGGGAAGGAUGUUUAGUUUUAGUGAUUUGGAGGUGUGGGAUGGAUGGAGGGUUUCAUUUUUCAGGUCCUUUAUGAUACGGAGAGGUUGUAGAGGGUGUCAAUGAAUUUACUCGCAUACCCUCCCUACACUCGCUGCAAACUUACCUCCUUUGAGACACUACAAACUUACCUCCUUUGAGACGCUGAGUCAAUGUGACUCAAAUCGAUUUUGCAUGACCCAAUGUGACUCAAAUCAAUUUUGCAUGCAGUGUUUUAAGAAGGAAAAUCGAUUUUAACUAUUUUGUUCUUGAGCAAAAUCGAUUUUCACUCAUAUUGUAAUGAAGUGAGAAUCGAUUUUGCACUUUGUUUCUACAAGUAGUGAGAAUCGAUUCUUUGUUCUAAUAAUCAAUUUUGACCUGGGUCAUGCUGAAAGAGAGAAUCAAUUCAAGUGUUGUUAUAUUCUUUAAAGAAUCAAUUUUGUGUCUUUGUUGGUGGGUCAAAAUUGAUUCUCAUUAGAUAAGACGCAAGCAAGAAUCAAUUCUCUUGUGUGGGGAGGGUGAAAAUUGAUUUUCAAGUUGAUUGAAUACAAGGGACAAUCGAUUCUCAUAUUUUUUUUGUUUAUGCUAGAAUGAUUUUUUUUUAUGAAGGUUGAAAUGCUUAUAAUUGAUUUCGAAUAUUUUAAGAAUUUUAAUAAUUUUAUAUUUUUAUUUAAAUAGGAUAUUAAAUAUUUAGGAUAUGUAUUUAUUUAAAAUUUUAAAUAUUUUAGGAAUUUUAUAUAUUUUAUAUUUUAUUUAAUAAAAAUUUAAAUAUUUAGAAUUUUUAUUUAUUUAAGAUUUUGAAUAUUUUAUGAAUUUUAUAUAUUCUAGAUUUUUAUUCAAAUAGGAAUUUAAAUAUUUAUGUUUUUAUUUAUUUAAGAUUUUGAAUAUUUCAGGAAUUUUAUAUAUUUCAAAUUUUUAUUUAAAUAGGAUAUAAAAUAUUUAAGAUUUGUAUUUAUUUAGAAUUUUUAAUAUUUUUAUUUUAUUUUUAUGUAGCAAUUUCUAAUUUGUAUAUAUAUAACCCUAAUUAUGUUACUGAAAAUAAUUAUUCAUCGAUAUAGAAAAUAAUUUACAACAGUUUAAUUAACUCAAACUUAAAUAAAUAUAUAUCAUAAUUACUAUUCAAAUAUUUUUUAAUGACAAGAGUAAAUUUAUAAACUUACAUUUUAUAUUUAAAAAUAAAUAAAAUUCUCCUCAACAUCACAUCUCUCACAAACUUCAAUAAAUUAUCCUCACAAAUCCACUCUAACAUCCAUAAAUCCAAACAACCUCACCUAUCCAUUCAAAUUCUCACAAAUCCACUUUCUCUCAUCCUCACAAAUUCGUUAUCCAAUCUAUACACGAUCUAAAUUAAUGAUGGAAACCAUUUAGUCACUAUAUUUUUUUAUUAAGAAUUAAAAAGACUAUGAAAUCUCAUUGAGUAAGACUCUACGUAGUAUAAUAAUAGGAUUUUAUUCCUUCUUUUCAGUCUUGCAGAGAUAUUGUAUAUGUAUAAUUUCAUUUGUAAUUUGUUGUAAAGUUUUGUACAAACAUUUGUGGGUUUUCUUUGGGCUUUCAUUGAGCUUUGAAUUGGGUUUAAAAUAUGAGCUAAGAAUCCUAAAGAAUUUGGUCAAACACUAGAGUAGAAGUGAGCAUAGAGUAGAAGUCUCACAUAAUGUGAAUUAUGUCAUUUUUGUAAGGUUAUUGUUUGACAUGUAGGGCUUUUGAAUUUUCUCCAUUUGCAUCACAUUUAUUAGGAUAUGAAAAACAAUAAUGCAUCUAUAAAUAACACCAUACAAUCAGAUCUUGAUUCUCAUUUACUGAAUACUUAUCUUAUUAUUCUUUUAAGGUGUUAAAUAGAAGUAAUAUUCUUCUCAUUAUCACCAAAAAAAACAAAAACAAAAACCGUAAGAUAAUUUAAAAUUUUUCAAGAAACUUACAAGUUUUAAUAAUUUGUGUCUUCCUUUUAGAAAGAAUGGUGCUUUUGGAUGAGGGAGGGGCCAUGGUAACAACACCAAAGACGUCAAAAAUGAUAUAAAGGAUGCUGGAAACCGUAUGAACAACGUCAUGACUAAUCUAUAGGAGACGGGGUGCCAAAAUUAAUGCGGAAAACACUAAAAUCUUCUUUUUCACGUUUUCUUCUCUCAGCAUAUCCCUCUCAGGUUUAUUUUCUAUUUUAUUACCAUUCAUAUGCUAUAAAUUCCACUUCACUGAACCUUAAUAUUUUCAAUAAUAUAAUAAAAUAAAAAUUUAAAGUAUUGAUACACUUUUUCCCCUCAAUAGCAUUCAUUUGAGUAUUAUUUCUCUCAAUAGCACUCAUUCGUGCUAUGGUUAGAAUUCGAUUUUUGAGAAAUCGAAUUCCCACAUUUAUUUUAUUUUUUAAUUGUGGAAAAAUAUGCUCUUAAAAUUUGAUUUUCGAGGAGAAGAAUUCUGAGAGUAUAUUUUUUUCCAAUGAUAAUGAAGAGGAUUGGAAAAUUAUAGUUUUUACUUUUAAUUUUUUGUCUUUGACGUAUAAAUAUUCUUUCAAAAUUAAUUAUGUGAUAACUGUAACACUUCGGAAAAUAACAUCUAACUAUUACAAUACAGGUUCUACAUAUUUCUAUACACACUUGGAGUUUUUCAAAACAUUCCUAAUACAUUAUUAGGAUUUGUAGAAAUACAAAUAUUUACAUAUCCACAGCUCAAAAUAAAACUCUGAAACCUCUAAGGCUCUCAUGCACCUGUAUGGUCAUCUGCUCGUGUACAUAGUACAGUCAUCGCAGUUUAAACACAACAAGAAAAGCAAGGGUAAGCUAGUGAAAAAUAGAAUUUUAUAAUAUACACAACUAAAUUAAAAGAGAAAACCAAAUUACAUGAUCAAUUUCUCAAAUUAUUCAAUUUUCUUCAAAUCUCAACAAUAAACAAUCACAUGGAUCUACACAUCUAGAAUAUUCAACAAACAACGUCUUCCGGAAGACCUGUUUUAAGUAAGUCCUACCAGAGACUAACACCUGAUCCAAAGAUUACCAACGAAUCCAACAGAAAGGAUCAGGGUAAGUUCAAUACAACCCAAGCCGUGCAUCUCAUAUGUCACGGUGUGCAUGAACUCCCCCAUCAGCUUCUCACCACCUGAUAUCUUAGUCUAUGUGACUUAGAUCAGUGAAGCUCGGAGAUCUCUGUUACCACAUAGGCAUCAAUACUUAAUACACAGCAAACAUCAGUCCAUACAUUAUCCCAAAUGUAUGAAUUCAAUUCCAUACCAUUAUGUCAUACAAUAUCAUUCAAAAAGUGAUCCACAAUAUUCAAAAGCGUAAUUAACAUAAAAAAACAACACUUAAAUAUUAAACCAUCAAAAUAUAAUAUUUUUACAAAUUUAAAUAAUAUAUAAAAAAAAUAACCCAAUAUAUAAACACACAACAUCCCUACAAGAGAAAUUGAAUAUUGGGACCACGUCCCUUCCGCAUUCAAAUCUUCUAUCCUAGGGUGCUAUUAAAAAUUAAAUUUAGCUUCCCUUACCUCAAUUGCUUGCUUUCCAAGCAACUUUUAGAAUUUUAUUCCCCACGGUCUGGAUAAGCUUCAAGAUUUACGGGCCUAAUGCAAAUUAUCCAAACAGAACAAAAAUUCAGUAUAUAGUAGAAUAAGUUGAGAGGAUUAAACUUCUCAACUGACCCGACCAAGAUUGAUGACUAAAUCCUAAGUAAAAAUAGAGAACAAAGGAACUUUAGAGCAAAAAUGAACUUACUCUGUUUGAAAAUCUGAUCGGGUAGAAAUGUUCCUUAGCUCCUCAGCUACAGCGUGGUAUGAUCAGAUUCUAAAAUAGAUGAAGAUUGGGAGAGAAAAUUAAGAGAGAGGGAGAUAAGAGAAUUGGAGAGAGAGAAUGGAGAUAAGGAAGAAUAAUGUUUGCAGGGGUUCUGUUUUUUUUAAAAAAAACACGUUACAAUAACCGAAUGUUAUGGUAAAUUAGUUAUUGGUGGGGCGAAUUUUGGGGUGGUUUUGGAUUUUUAUUUCUUAUUUUCAGUGUUGGAGUGAAAUAGAUUCUGGUUUUUCAGUGGAUAAUCGAAAUUUGAUUUCUAAUUUUUGACUUUGAUGUAUGAAUGUUCAUCUGAAAUUAAUUAUGCGAUGAUUGAAUGUUUGUGAUAAUUGAUUACUGAUUGACCGAAAUUUGGGGGUGUUUUCCAUUUUUAUCUCUUAUUUUCGGCGUUGGAGUAAAAGAGAUGUGAGUUUUUUUAAUAGUGAGUGACUUGUAUGAACUUAUUUUUUAUUUAUUUUCAGUAUUGGAGAAGAGCAAAGCUUAUAAAUGUUGUCCAGUAAGUGAUUAUAAUCUGGAUAUGUAUUUUUUAUUUUUAUUUUGGUGUAAAACUUCGUCCAUAUGAACUAUGUGGUGUUCGGAUUAUCUAGAAUUAUAAAAUUAUUAAUUUGUUAUAUUUUUAAAAAUUAAAGUUAUCAUUAUUAUUUGGUUGAAAAUGAAAAGAAAUUAAUAAAUUAAAAAGAAUUGAUAAUUUUAACAUUGAAUGCAUUAUAAAUAAAUGUAUUGGUUGUAAAAAAGAAUUAGAAAUAUUUGUAAUGUUUAAAAAACUUAGAAAUAUAAUUAUUCAAGAAAGAAAUAAGUUUUUACAAAAUAAAUAUAAAAUAAUAAAUUAAAAAGUUUUAGUUUAAAAUUUAAUUUUUCAGGAAAUAAUGUGGGUGAAGAGUGUUUCAUGUUUUGUGUGGUUCAUUGAAUGAGAUUCAAUCUAUAACGUUCCUUUUGACUUGAUAAUCUGCUCAAGAAUCCGUGGAUGAUUCAUGAAAUAAUAAUGUUUAUGUGGUUCAUUUGUGAAUGGUUGAUGGGGGUGAGAUUCAAUUUAGAAUGUUGUUUUGGCUUCACACUUUGCUAAAAAAAUUGUGAGUUGUUAAAAAAAUAUACGGGCAAACAAUGACUCAUGCUUUGUGUGGUUCAUGUGAAUAUUAUGGAAUGAGAUUCAAUGUGAGAAAUUAAUUUUGGCUUAACACUCGAAUAUGUAAAUUAUUAAUGGUCAGUUUUUAUUUAAUUGUGCUUUCGUUUGAUCUAAUGGGUAUGAAUUUGUUGUGAAUGUGAUUAUUUUUUCAAGUAAUGAACUCUACAAAAUUAGAAUUGUUGCAAUAGAACACAUAGUGUUUUAAGUGUACAAUUUCUCUCUACAUUUAUUUUCUCUCGUUAAAAAACAGAAAAAAACAUAUAGAGUUGUGAUUUGAAUGAAGUGGAAAAGAAAAACGCAUUGAUUAAAGUUGUGAAAAUGUCCUCGGAAAUGAGAAUGAAUCAUGAUUAGAUAUGGGCAUCGUGGCGAAGCGCAGCGCGGUGAAGUGAACCACAUGCAUGGCUAGUUAAUGUGGCAGGCAGUGGUGGCAGAACUUUGCUUUAUUCACUGCGCAACCUUAAAGCUGAAACAGUUACGGCGUCGUCUCGCUACACCUGUACUUCCUCCAGGGAAACUUUGUUUUUAGUGCAUGUUGAGACCACCGUGCUCCUGCACCGUACACCUGUCGUUCUUUCAUAGAAUGUGGAGGGCGGUGCUACCCUACAUCUGUCUAUCUGUACACCACCGCAUGCUUCACCUAUCAUCUCUUUACCAAUCUCUCCCUCCUUCCUUGGAUUCCAUUUUAAAUAUAAAUAUAUGAUAAAUAAAUACUCAAUAUAAUCUUAAAAGGUAAACACAAACACGAUUUCCUCAAUAUUUAUCAUUUUAACCAAGUAAAAAAAAAUAUUUAACAUAUACCAACUAUGAAAUAUGUUAAUAUUAUCACUUUUAUCUUAAACUAAUUGCUGUUUAAGAAUAACACUAAGUAUGUGGCUUCUUGAAACAAUCUUAUUAAAAUACAUUUCGUAAUUUCAUUCAAAUAGCAAAUACAUUAUUUUUAUCUUUUGUAAAUAAAGACAUUUGUUAGUUCAGAAAAAUCAGAUUUAAGAUUAUUUAUAUUUUUUAUAAAAAAAUAAAGAAAUAUGUAUCUUAAUAAGUUGACUAAUUUAAUAAGUUGACUAAUUUAUGAUUUAUUUAUAGAAAAUCAUUUUAUUGUUACAAUGGUUUCCAUCUAUUUUGUUAUUAAAUUUUUUUAUGAAUAUAUAUAGCUUAUCUAUGUAUCGUUUUUGUUAAGAUAUGAGUUUUUGUUUAGUUUUAUAAUUUUUUUUGUAUAUUUUUUAAUAAUAUUUAUUUUAUGUGAUGAUAAAAGAUUAUUGUUAUUUGAGUGUCGAUUUAACUGAGAUGUCAUGUUAUAUAGUGAUGCAUAUCAUNNNNNNNNNNNNNNNNNNNNNNNNNNNNNNNNNNNNNNNNNNNNNNNNNNNNNNNNNNNNNNNNNNNNNNNNNNNNNNNNNNNNNNNNNNNNNNNNNNNNNNNNNNNNNNNNNNNNNNNNNNNNNNNNNNNNNNNNNNNNNNNNNNNNNNNNNNNNNNNNNNNNNNNNNNNNNNNNNNNNNNNNNNNNNNNNNNNNNNNNNNNNNNNNNNNNNNNNNNNNNNNNNNNNNNNNNNNNNNNNNNNNNNNNNNNNNNNNNNNNNNNNNNNNNNNNNNNNNNNNNNNNNNNNNNNNNNNNNNNNNNNNNNNNNNNNNNNNNNNNNNNNNNNNNNNNNNNNNNNNNNNNNNNNNNNNNNNNNNNNNNNNNNNNNNNNNNNNNNNNNNNNNNNNNNNNNNNNNNNNNNNNNNNNNNNNNNNNNNNNNNNNNNNNNNNNNNNNNNNNNNNNNNNNNNNNNNNNNNNNNNNNNNNNNNNNNNNNNNNNNNNNNNNNNNNNNNNNNNNNNNNNNNNNNNNNNNNNNNNNNNNNNNNNNNNNNNNNNNNNNNNNNNNNNNNNNNNNNNNNNNNNNNNNNNNNNNNNNNNNNNNNNNNNNNNNNNNNNNNNNNNNNNNNNNNNNNNNNNNNNNNNNNNNNNNNNNNNNNNNNNNNNNNNNNNNNNNNNNNNNNNNNNNNNNNNNNNNNNNNNNNNNNNNNNNNNNNNNNNNNNNNNNNNNNNNNNNNNNNNNNNNNNNNNNNNNNNNNNNNNNNNNNNNNNNNNNNNNNNNNNNNNNNNNNNNNNNNNNNNNNNNNNNNNNNNNNNNNNNNNNNNNNNNNNNNNNNNNNNNNNNNNNNNNNNNNNNNNNNNNNNNNNNNNNNNNNNNNNNNNNNNNNNNNNNNNNNNNNNNNNNNNNNNNNNNNNNNNNNNNNNNNNNNNNNNNNNNNNNNNNNNNNNNNNNNNNNNNNNNNNNNNNNNNNNNNNNNNNNNNNNNNNNNNNNNNNNNNNNNNNNNNNNNNNNNNNNNNNNNNNNNNNNNNNNNNNNNNNNNNNNNNNNNNNNNNNNNNNNNNNNNNNNNNNNNNNNNNNNNNNNNNNNNNNNNNNNNNNNNNNNNNNNNNNNNNNNNNNNNNNNNNNNNNNNNNNNNNNNNNNNNNNNNNNNNNNNNNNNNNNNNNNNNNNNNNNNNNNNNNNNNNNNNNNNNNNNNNNNNNNNNNNNNNNNNNNNNNNNNNNNNNNNNNNNNNNNNNNNNNNNNNNNNNNNNNNNNNNNNNNNNNNNNNNNNNNNNNNNNNNNNNNNNNNNNNNNNNNNNNNNNNNNNNNNNNNNNNNNNNNNNNNNNNNNNNNNNNNNNNNNNNNNNNNNNNNNNNNNNNNNNNNNNNNNNNNNNNNNNNNNNNNNNNNNNNNNNNNNNNNNNNNNNNNNNNNNNNNNNNNNNNNNNNNNNNNNNNNNNNNNNNNNNNNNNNNNNNNNNNNNNNNNNNNNNNNNNNNNNNNNNNNNNNNNNNNNNNNNNNNNNNNNNNNNNNNNNNNNNNNNNNNNNNNNNNNNNNNNNNNNNNNNNNNNNNNNNNNNNNNNNNNNNNNNNNNNNNNNNNNNNNNNNNNNNNNNNNNNNNNNNNNNNNNNNNNNNNNNNNNNNNNNNNNNNNNNNNNNNNNNNNNNNNNNNNNNNNNNNNNNNNNNNNNNNNNNNNNNNNNNNNNNNNNNNNNNNNNNNNNNNNNNNNNNNNNNNNNNNNNNNNNNNNNNNNNNNNNNNNNNNNNNNNNNNNNNNNNNNNNNNNNNNNNNNNNNNNNNNNNNNNNNNNNNNNNNNNNNNNNNNNNNNNNNNNNNNNNNNNACUUAAUUAGUAUAUAUAUUAUUGACUAUAUAUAUAUAUAUAUAUAUAUAUAUAUAUAUAUUUCCCAUUUUAUCUUAUUAAAUCACUAUAAAUUGAAUAUCAAUAACAUAGUCUAUACAAAUUUGAUAAUUUCAUUACUAGAUGGUAAUUAUACAUUUAUGAAUUUCUCAUCAGUCAUUUUUUUUUAUCUAAAAUGUAAUUUGCAACCUUUAGUUUUUAUGUUUAGUAAAGGAUGAUUUAAAAAAAGGUUAAAAUUAAGCCAUAUUUAAUAGAUAAUUUAUAAUGUUAUUUAUUUAAUAAUUUAUUUUACAAAAUUUAUUAUUUUUUAAAUUUCUUUCUUUCACAUUUUCUUUAAGCUUUUGAAAAAAAAAUCUAUUUGUUAUAGUAAUGUUUGUAUGUAUAGAGUUUUGUUUUUGCUUGAGAUUUGAGUUGAAUAGAUUUAUCUGUUAGUCUAAGUCUUUAUUGAUCUCUUUAGUUUUUGAAUUAGACUUGAUGGGAGCAAGUUAGAUUGUUAUUUAAUUAUGAAUGUUCUAGGUUUUACUAGUUAGUUUUGUAUAUUUUGAGUACUUAGAGAAAUUAAAUUUGCAAUUGUCUUAAACGAUGAGAAGUAGAAAAGUGAAGUUUGAAUUUUUGAUUAAAUUAGGUGCAAAUGAUGCAUUUAUAUGUUGAUAUAUGAUGUUCGAAUAUGAAUGUCGAAUUGAUGAAUUAAGUAUGUAUACAAUUGUUUGUAUAGUAAAAUUUGUUGAAUACUAAAUAAAUAUCUUUAAUAGAUACAAGUAAUUAGUGAGAAAAUAUUAAUUGAUGAAUUGUUUUUGUUGGAACAUGGUAUUGUAGUAUUACUCCUAUUGCAACAGCGUUUCAUUCUGUUUUUGUCUGUGUUGCUCCUCUCCUUUCCUUCAAAAGGAGACUCACACCAUAUCAACACAACACACCCUGCACCAACUCAACUUUGAACCUUCAAGCACAUUGUUUUCUUCACUUGUCCCACACCUCCAAAAUCACUCUGAUAUACUCAAUCUUUCGCUUUUGUUCACAAGAGCAGCAUGCAUGUUCUUUUCCCUGUGAAGAGACUCGCCUUCUCUGAUCCUCUUUUGUCACACAGAAGAAGACUUUUUCGUUGGUUCAGUUUAGGUGUUGUAGCUUCUCUUCUUUUGUUGUCUCUCUUCAUUCUUGGUAACUCCCUCAGGGUUUCCAAAGUUGCAGUCUUUGUUCCACAACUAAGCACUGUUGCUGCAAAUUCUUCGCUUGCUUCUCGCCCCUUCUUACCUUUCAAUAAUACUAGCCACUCUUCUUCCUCUGGGAGCAGCACUUCUAACACUUCAAAGUCUGACGAGUACAAGAGUUCUGUGAAGGUUAUUAAGGAAGGAAGUGUGGUAGUUGUGGAUGGAAAUGGAGCGAAUCAUGUGUUGGAGGAAACAAAGAGUGUCAGGGGUUUGCAGAAUUAUAGUUUUUCUUCUUAUUUGUUGCCAGAGAGUAACAAAGGAAAGCAUGAAGGGGAUUUGGUUAGGGAAAACAGUUUAAGGAAUGUAACUGUCACUCAUAAUGAGAAAAUGCAGGUUGGUUUACAUGAGGAAUGUGACAUUUUUGAUGGAAAGUGGGUAAAAGAUGGUUCAAAGCCAUAUUAUCCUUUAGGGUCUUGUCCACAUAUUGAUAGAGAUUUUAACUGUCACCAGAAUGGGAGGCCUGAUGGAGAGUAUGUUAAAUGGAGGUGGCAGCCAUAUGGGUGCAAAAUUCCAAGGUAGAGAGAUAUAUGAUAACUGUUUGUAUGUAACGACUAUGAAGUGUUCAUGUUAAUCUAGAACAGAAAAGUAGUUUGUACUGGAAUAAGGAAAAAGAGAUUAAUAUUCAAUGUUUACUGUAACGAUAACGUGAAAGUAAGAUUUGUGAUAAACGCGAUGUAUGCAUAUAAAUUUAGGACCAAGUCUUUUGCAUUAUCAUUAAUUUUAUGCAAGAAGGGACAUUUUGUGAAUUGAAUGUGGUUGGAUUCUCUUUUAUUCAGAGCAAAACUAUGCAUUUAGCCUCAGAAAAAAGUAUACAAUUAUUGUUCUCGUAUUUGAUCAAUGAUUGAUGUCAUCAUGUCACUCCUCAGUUUGAAUGCAACUGAUUUUCUGGAGAGGUUGAGAGGACAGAGGCUGGUUUUUGUGGGGGAUUCACUGAACAGGAACAUGUGGGAGUCACUUGUAUGCAUUCUCCGUGAAAGUAUCAGGAACAAGAAACGGGUAUUUGAAAUUUCGGGGAGAAGGGAAUUUAAGAAGAAAGGUGUUUAUUCUUUUAGAUUUGAGGCGAGUUUCCUUCACUUGUUUGAUAUUUGUCUAGUGUGAAUCUUGUAGCGCUAUGGUGUCUUACUAGAAUUUUUUGCGGUAUUUUAGGAUUAUAAUUGUUCGGUGGACUUAGUUGUUUCGCCAUUUAUCGUUCAAGAGUCAACUUUCAAGUCCAAAAAUGGAUCAUUUGAGACAUUAAGAUUGGAUUUGAUGGACUGGACUACGACCAGGUAUGAAGAUGCUAAUAUCAUAGUCUUCAACACAGGACAUUGGUGGACCCAUAAUAAAACAUCAAAAGGGUGAGUUCAAUUCCCAUACACCACAUUUGUAAUGUGAGAUUGCUUUAUCAAUCAAAUAUUGUUAUGCAUUUCUUGCGUCAUGUGCUCCUAAUUAGCACUUUUUUUUUCAUUUUGCUGUCAUCUGGUACUGCUACAGAGAAGAUUAUUAUCAGGAAGGAAACCAUGUACACGCAAGACUCAAGGUUCUGGAUGCAUACACCAGAGCCUUGACCACUUGGGCUAAAUGGGUUGACCGAAAAAUCAAUGCCAAUCAAACUCAGGUUUUCUUCCGGGGAUACUCAGUCACCCACUUCUGGUAUUGUUCUCUUUUACAUAGCUUCCACAAUUCAAUUGUUUGUAUAAGGACUUGCUACUGUUUCCUUACUUUUACUUGGAUUCAAGAAUUAAUCGAAGCCUGUUUCUAACUGGAAAUAUGUGCUACUUAGGAAAUACUUGUUUACCAAGGUCCUGUCUCAUCUCAUAUCAUCUAUAUUGAUUAUCAGAUUUUUCACUUGGCCUCCACAAUUAUGUCUAUGUAAUAAUGAACAUGCAAUAGUUCAUUGUCGGAAAAAUUGGAUUAUGCAGACAUUUGGUAAUUGAUAGAUCUGUUUGAUCAGGAGAUAAACAGAAUGUUGUUGGUAGUUGAAAACUUGUUAUCCUUAGACUCUCUAGUUGCUUUUUCUUUCCUAUUAGGUAAAACCUCUUUAGGUAAUGGCUACUUUAUUUUUAUCAUUGCUGUUGGCUUAAUUACCUAAGCAAGUUCCCCCUCACCCCUACUUCCUCCUUGCAGCAUGGCGUGCACCUGCCUUUAGUAUUGAUACUCUAGUAAACUAAUACAAAAUACAAUUAAGCAAUUUUGCACCAUUCUCACUGGGUUGAAUUUUGUUCUUUGUUAAGCAAAUUUAAAUUUACCUGCUAUAUGGUGUAAAAUUGUGGUUAUGAUUUAAACUAACCACUAACCCUUAUCAUUUUAAAUAACUACUGGCAAUAAGACUAGCAUUUCAUUUUUAUUUUAACCAGAAUCAUAUCUUGCUACAAAGACUGUUCCAAGGUCAUGGUGACUUCAAUGGUAUAUUUUAGCAAUUUAGAGAUUCAUAUGCAUGUGUUAUACCUUGAGUAAGUUCCAAUACUCUGCAGGGGUGGCCAAUGGAAUUCAGGAGGACAGUGCCAUAAAGAAACUGAGCCAAUAUUUAAUGAAACUUACUUACAAAAGUAUCCUUUAAAAAUGAGGGCUCUAGAAAGUGUGAUCCAACAAAUGAAAACCCCAGUAGUAUAUAUGAAUAUAAGUAGGCUUACAGAUUACAGAAAAGAUGGGCAUCCUUCAGUAUACAGAAAGGGGUAUAAGAAAUCAAUGGAUCAGAACUCUACUGCACUAUUCGAAGACUGCAGCCAUUGGUGCUUGCCUGGGGUACCGGAUACUUGGAAUGAAUUGCUAUAUGUUUCUCUCUUAAAAUAUGGAACGGGAACUUGGAAAAGCUGAACAAAUUUCCUCAUUCAUUCCACAAACCAGUUUCUUAUUCUUUUUGCAUAGUUAUAUUCAACAUGUAGUUUUUUGUUGCAUGCCUUUAGUGAUAGUUUGAUUACAAUAAACAAGAUAGCCAGGGAAGGAAAUAGGAUAGUAGAUUGGCUUGCCAAUUCUUCCCAUGCUUCUGAGGUUCAACUCACUUUCUUUUCGGUGUUCGGUAAGUAAAUGGAUUUUGUAUUUAUGUAUUUAGAAUUUACAGGCACGUAUCAUAAUACUUGGAAUGAUACGAAAUCUUUAUGUUUUAUUUAGUUUUAUGUGAAUCUCUCUGAUACACCAGUUAUAGAAAAUAAAGAAUCAAAUUUAUGUCAAAGGGUGAUUUUUUUUAUGAUGGUUUAGGAUUUGAGAUUCUAUUUGAGACACAAUGACAAUUCUAUUUAAAAAACAAAAAGGCUCUCCCAUUGGCUAAUAGGUAAUGGGGUUUGAGAUUCUAUUUAUGGGACAAAAUGGCAUGUCUUUGAAACAAUGUAUUCUUGUAACAUUUAAUUAUAUUUCAUGAACUAUUAACGAAGCAUAUUCAUUUCCUUUUAGACAUGACAGCGAGAGCUUAACAGCGAGAAUUUUCUUAUCAUCUUGAAUGUGAGUUUGUUUAGAUAACUCUUUUUAAUAGACAAUUAGAGAACAAAAAUACAGGAGAAAACAAUAAUUAUUUGUAUACUGUGAUUUGUCUUCCAUUGAACUCAGUUUUCUUGGUUAACUCUAGUCCUUUAGUUAGCAUCCAUAAUUAUCAAGUUCACUUAUUACCUAUACAUUUCAAUUGAAACAUUGUUAUUGAGAUUACAUCGGAUACAUAUCUUAAUCAUGUUCCAUAAUUAAAAUCAAUUGUAGCAAAAUUUAACCGUCACUUGUUGAACUAGUUCCAAGACUGAUAAACGCUGUCUUGAAUUAUUAUAUGACGGGUGUCCGGUUUUUGUUGUAACCAUGUUCAAUGAGAUUCUUCCACUUUCUAAGACAAAAAGGUGGUAGCCAAGUGUAUGUUGAAGUGAAAAACAAACACUCAUAUAAUAGUGGUUGACUUCCUAUUAAUUUUAGUAAAUAAAAUUUCCACUUGUGAAUGCUGUUUUUUACAGGGAGAGGAUGGGCUAUUUACCCGGAAUAAUCAUAAUCACAGCAAAAUCAGAAACUAGAGUGCAAAAGUGGCUUGGUCAUUUUGUCUUUUAACACUUUUCUAGGAGGGUUUUGCAGCUUUUCUAACCAAUCAACUUGUGCAGAACAUAACCCUCCACUUUAAGGAGCUAAAACACUACUAAAAUGAUUUUAUUGCAUAUAAGGCCACACAACACAGCAAGCAUACACACUAAGACACAUGGGAAAAGGAAGAGACACACAGCAAGGUUAGGGAAAUGGAGAGGAAUAUGAGGUUAUAAUUACCUACCUACUCAUCUGCAGAACCUGAAGAGAGCCGGACUGUAGUCAUCUGCAAAUUGAGUGUUAUGGACAACACAAGUUGGUAGCUGGCUUCUCAAAGAAAGGAGAUCUUUGUUUAUUACAUUCUACUGGUAGAAGAAGAAGAAGAAGAAGAAGUAGAAGAAGAACUACAAUAGAGUCAAUACAUAGCCAUAAGGACCCCUUAAUGAGAGAAAGUCCAUUGCCUUUCUGUGACUUGCCGGUUUGCCUGGCUGUAGCCAAAGCUUCUCUGACCUAUGGAGAAUGCUUCUCUGCUUCAUGCCACUCAGUGAAUCAUGUUACUCCAUAUAUACCCUUUGUGGUUAAUGAUUAGAGAAGCCAAUGGCUAAGCAUAAGCAAACUGUAAGAGGAGGAGGAGUGUGAGGGGUGAGGACCCUCUCACACAAUCCUCCAUUCUUCUUUAAGAGCCAUGGAUUGAUUUUUGCCAACAAAGCUCCAUGCCUAUACCAGAUAGAUUGGUUUGAAUGAUUUCUCCAAAGGGCUCUAUAGAAGGCUAGUGGGGAAGUUAGUUUCUGACCAUUGCUUUAAAUAGCUGAUGAUUGAAAAACUCACAAGUGGUAUGAUCUAUUCAUUAUCCAAAUACAUUCUUACUUUUGCUUUCAAACCAUUAAAUUUAAAAGUUGCAAUACAGUAGAGUGUCCAUUAAAAAUAAAUAAUAGGUUAAAGUAUUUAUUUGGUCAUUGGACUAUUUUAACCUUAACCCAAUUACCUAACCUUUUUUUGCAUUUCGAUGUAAUCAGGAUAGAGCUAAUCUAGCUAACUCUUAUUUUUGAGUAAAGGUAUCACUUAGUUACACUUCUUUCUUUUCUGUUGGUGUUGAACACAGUUUAGUGACCACUAAACUUUUAUUUCUUCACUUUGGAAAAAAAAAGGUUUUAUUACUAUGUAGUUAGAUAUUCACAUACCUAAUGUAUACGUAUAAGUAUCGAACUAUAUAAUCUUUUACCUUUUUCUUUUUCCAUAAUCUUCAAAUUUUCUUUUCAUACUACACAUUCUGCCAGGAAAUUUAAGAUAAACUAAAGAAGCGUGUACAACUUCCAGAAAUGAGAGAUGAAGUAGAAAGAUUGGUGUGAGUGAAGGAUAUGAGUGAGAAUGUAAUAAUAAACUUCAAACAUGGGUACCUACCCUCUACUUUUUCAUUGGUGCUUGACUUUUGAUUAUUGGACGUUAUUGCAUCAGUGAAUCCACUAGCUGAUUCUGUAUCCCCACUUUGCUUUCAAUGAUACAUACAUAUCAUCUUAAUCAUCCACUAAUUUCAUUCUUUCUCACCAGCCUUGCCAGCAAAGCUAUGCUAUGUUUGUUUUCUUGUCUUUUGUACUUUGCAACGUGUCAAAAUAGAAUGCUUCUAAUGUGAGAUCUCAAAAUCUACAAUUCUUAACCAUCAGAGUGCACCUAAACUCUUUUAACUUUGUUAUGUUAAUCCCUAUCUUACGUUCUUUUUUGUAUCUUCUGAGGCCUUUUUCAACUCUCUUUCUCAAAACAAUGAUUCCACUGUCACCAAACACUCAAGUCAUCUUUUUUUUUUUUGUAUUUUAGUGAAUAAAAGUUGUAGUCAAUAGCUCGAACUUACGUUGAAGACUUCUCUCUCUUUCCCUCUCUCUUCCUUAACGAAUAUUAGAAGGGUCCUUCUGAACUUGGUUUGACUUACUUUUCUCGACUUGUGUUUGAAUAGAGCGUUUUAUCAUGUUGAAAACUCACACUUAUCUACAAGCUACUAGCACAUGUAAGGCAAAAUAUGCAUAUUGAUUACUUUUUCACCACGCAUCUAAGCAUUUAACAACUUAUUUCGUUCAUUCAUGCACCAAAACACUUGAUGGUCAUAGUUUUCUUAUUGAUCAAUACGAAAAAUAUUAUCUUAUUUUUACUUUAAUCUACAUAUAUUUAGAAUUACUUAUAAAAUAAAGAACCAAAAUAGAAAAAAGCUUUACCAAACAAAAGGGACAAUUUACUGAAAUGGUAAGUGAUCUCCUUAUCAGAUAUGCACACAAUAAUAGCAGCUAGACUAUCCACUGAAGCUUCUUUUUACCUUGCCUCUUCUUUAAGCAAACAAACAAAAUGUACAUCAAUUUUUUUGUACACCCUUUUAGACUCUAACUUUGCAAUUUACUUAUUACUGUUGUAACCACACAUAAUGUGUGCAGUAGAUGGCAACAGCUACAGUGAAGGAGAUCACAGCUUGUUUUCUCAAUUUUUCUUUGUGGCCUUCAUUGCAGAAACAAAAACAAAAAACAAAAACAAAAACUGCCAUUGAUUUCACUUGGUCAGAACAAUAAGAUUGCUUUGUCUUGAGUUAAUUAUUUAUAUAAACUCUAUUUCCUUUUUAAUAAUGGAAAGCACUAUGGUCCACCAUAUUGCAAAUGGACACACGACACUUAAUGGAAAAUCUGAGUCGGUUCCGAUUUGCAAUCGAGUUUUGGGUCCCCUCAUAAUCCAAAAUUUCUAUGUUUUUACUGUGUGUUCAGUUUAAUUUACGUUCAAAUUUGGACGAUUGCUUAGGUUGUCAUCAUCUUAUGUUGUUAUUUCCAAACGUGACAGGUAGAAGGCCUAGUACAACUGACUUUUCCACAAUGGUUUCAAUUUGGAAUCAAAACCAACGGGUCCCUUUGUGGUUCAAAUUAUUUUUCAGUUCAAGAUCAUGCUCAAUUUUCUAUCUAAUUGCAUAAUAUUAGAGGUUUGG